rnacentral:lncRNA from 1 species
CCGUUUCGUGUAAGCCAUACGCGAGCCACGCGCAACCGAUCCAUUCCUGUGUGAGUCGUAUGCCAGCCGUGAGUCUCAAGACUCGAGCUGAAGCGUUGUUAGUCGAGCCACCUUCAGUUUUAGCCGUCUGCAACAUAUUUAAGCCCUUGGUGAGUUUUUGCUUAAUUCUCGUUGGGUUUGGUACACCCAAAUAAUUAUUGUUUUGGGUCUAAAAUGAGUUAGCACUGGAAUGAGUUGAAUUAUGUUGUUUGAGAUGGUCGUAUAAAUAGUUACUUUGAAAACCUUAUUAUGAUUUAGAUAUAGUAUUAUUUGUUGAGGCAUGCUAUAAUCAAAUAUGUUACUUUUGAGUUAUGUGUAAUUGAGCUAAGAUGUUGAUCUUAUGAUAAACAUGUAUAGGCUAUAGUGUUCUGUUAGUUUUGCCUAUUAGAGUUGUACCGUAUGGGGGUCCAUCAGGGUCACCACCUAUGUAUGCAUGUGUGACUUGUUUGAGAUGUGAUUCGACGGGAUCACUUACAGUCUGACUCUCCUAUAGGAUGAUUCCUUCGGGUUCACCGAGAGCCUAGAUGUGUCCCUACGGAACCACUUGAUAGUAUGCGUUCGGGAGCGCAAUAGUAUGCGGUACCAUGUUACAGGACUCUAACGAAAGGUUAACAGACACAUAGUGAGACCACUAUGGGUCUCUUACUAAGUAUAAAUUUAUACUCACUCUUUUAAAUGUUUAAUUUCAGGUAAGGGUAGAGGCAAGGGCAUAAUAGCGAAUGAUAAGAAGUGAUCAUGGAUCGCCAUAGGAAACAAUUCAGUUUUCUUCCGCAUUUAUAUUUCAAUAGUUAUAUUUUCAUAGGUUUAUUACAGAACUCUGGUUCAAUUACUUUAAGUAUUUCUUCUAUUUUUGGGCCCAAACUGGUAUUUUGAUCAGUUAUUUUAACUACUUAUUAUUUAAAGUUUUUCCUCAAAUUUUAAUUUAUUUUCUUGUAUAUUAAAAAAAAUCUAUAUUUACUUAAAUAGUAAUGACCUCAACCUUCUAGAAAAGUUGGGGCGUUACAAUUAAAACUAAGUUACCUAGGUCAUCCUAAUGAAUAGAAACCUGACUAGUAAACAGAGUUUCAUCUAGUAGUUAUUAUUUUGCCGUCUGAUCUUAUGUAAACUUAUUGCAUAAGAUACCGUCACUCGUAUGUCAACUACACAAACGCGUUGAAUCAUUGUGUUUGUAUCAAAUACAAAGUGAGCCAUAUUCAUAGUGUUACCAGGAUUAGGUAUUCAGCCUUAUCCUUGUACUAUAGAACCUUUAAGCUGAUCUUGAACCUUUAUCCCUGUAUGUCUCUACAUACUGUUUAAGAUUCAUUAAACAACUUAGGAUGUUAGUUUGUUUGAUUUGAGUUAUUAAGACAACUAAUAUUAUAACCAAUAACAAUUAUUACAAUAAUAACAUGUUAUUAACAACGAUUAAUGGAUUAUAUUUACAAUCUACGAGUUUUAGGACAUAAAUCCCAACAUAAACGAUCUUUUAUUUAGUCUAAACAAUAUUGUACCAAAUCUAAACGAUCCAUUAGUAACAGUGGUCUAUGUCUGUUUAUCUGGGAUAGACAACUGAUGAUUUAGAUAUUGAUACAUUAUCAUUUAAAUCAUGUACUAAUAUCAUUUAGAUCUUGUACCAAGAAGCAAAAAAAGAAGAUGAGAGAUGAAGAAGGAAGAAAUUUUGAAAAAGGAAAUGAAGAAAUCACAGACAAGAAGAAGUGAGAAUAUGAAAGAGAAGUAAUAAUAUGAAGAAAUUAAUAAUACGAAGAAGAGAAGAAUAAAUUGCAAAGAAGAAGAAAAAGAAGUGAAGUGAAGAAUGGUUUCACAAUGCGCAAAAAUAAUGACAAAGGGAAAAUCUGAAAUUUAUAAAAAAAAAUAAUGGUGGCUUCAUGUGCUUUAAUUUUUUGUUACAUGCGACGUAAAUAUUUUUGGGUUUUGCUACAUUUAUGUGUAUUAUUCAUGAUUUAAUUUAAUUAAUUACUUUUCCAAUUAAUUAAUUACUAAGUUAAGCAUCACAUAUUUAACUUAAUCUAGAAUUUGAAUUAUCUUCAAUUGUAUCUCGUGUACGAUCGGUAUGGGAAUCCUCAAGAGGGUGAAUAGGGUUUUUACAAAUUAAUGAAACAAGUGGGCCAAAUUAAAUAAAUUAACAAACUUUUUGCUAAUAAAUAAUGUAAUCAAUAAUCUCAUACAAAUGCAUGCACAUCAAAAUAACUUAUAAGGUGACGUUAACAAAUUCAAACAUCCAUUUUAAUGUUUAUAACAAGAAAAUUGGUAACACAAAUAUGCAAAGAUAAACUUAAACCAACCUAAAUAGAGAAGUGAGCAAUUAAUCUCAAGAACAAAAGUUGCAAUUAAUUUCAAACACUAAAAUUUGAUAACAAAUUAAUUGCAAAAUUAAAUAGUUGAGAGAUAAAGAAAUUAACAUCGGGAAUUUUAUAGUGGCUCGGCACAACCGACCUACAUCCACUUUUCAAGCUCCUCUUGGUUAUUUCACUCAAACUUGACUCUUUCGAUGGCUUAGAGUAGAUCCAUACAACGUUCCUUUUUUCAAGUGUAAGAACAAGCUCAAUCAUUUCCACGGUUUAGGAUCAAACCAUUACGACCACUCUUUUUAGAGAUCAAGAGAAAUCCUUUAAAAUGAAUUAGAAAUGAAGCACGAUAUGAGAAAAUCCUCUAAAUUAGUAGAUUUACAAAUUUGUAGUACUCAACAAUUAAAUCCCCAAUACAAUAAACUAGGACAUCCCCAUACCCAUUACACAUCUCCCACUUGUCCUAGAUUACCUAAUGUACAAAACUCGCAGAUCUAGACUCUCUAGAUGAGCCUCGAACACUUUAGCCGUGAGAGUCUUUGUAAAUGGAUCAGCAAUGUUAUGCUCCAAAGCGAUCUUGGUGACUAUCACUUCACUUCGUUGCACAAUCUCUUGUAUCAGAUGAUAUUUUCUCUCUAUAUGUUUUCCUCAUUUGUGGCUAUGAGGUUCCUUAUAAUUGGUCACUGCCCAAUUGAUAUCAAAAUAUAAAGUGAUGGGCAUGUUCAUAUUUGGAACAACUUCCAAAUCUUGCAGAAACUUCCUUAGCCAAAUUGCUUCUAUUGUUGCUUCACAAGCAACGACGUACUCAACCUUUAUAGUAGAGUCUACAAUGCAUCCUUGCUUGAUGCUAUGACAUGCUACUGUUCUCCCGUUUAGGGUGAACACUAAUCCCACUAGAUUUCCUAGAAUCCUUAUCUGUUUAGAAAUCAGGAUUAAAUCCCUAGCUUCAUACACAAGCAUGUAGUUUCUCAUUCUCCUAAGAUACUUAAGAAUAAUUUUAACCGUCGUCUAGUGGUCUAACCCUAAGUUGGACUGAUAUCUACUGACUAUUCCCACUACAUAAUAAAUGUCUAACCUAGUGCAGAACAUAACAUAAAUUAAGCUACCCACAACUAAGGCAUAUGGAAUAUGUCUCAUAUCUUCUCAACUUCUUGAGGUGUCUUAGGACAUUGUUCCUUAGACAAGUAAACCUCGUGCUUGAAAGGUAAUAAAUCCUUCUUAGAGUUUGCAUCGAAUAUCGAACCAAUAUUUUGUCGAUAUAGGUUGCCUGAGACAGUGCUAGCAUUUUGUUCUUACGAUCCCUUAUGAUUUGGAUCCCAAGAACAAAUUGUGCCUCUCCCAAAUCUUUCAUUUAGAAUUGGACUGGUAGCCAAGUUUUAACGUUAGUUAGGUAUCCUACAUCAUUUCCAGUGAGAAGGAUAUCGUCCACAUAAAGUACUAAGAAAGCUACUUUAUCUUUGUUGAUUUUCUUGUAUACACAAGGCUCAUCAACAUUUUGGUCAAAACCGUAAGAUUUGAUCGCAAUAUCAAAUCUAAUGUUCCAAGAUCUAGAUGUUUAUUUCAACCCAUAAAUGGAUCGAUUCAGCUUGUAAACUUUUUGUUUCUAACCUUGGGUUAUGAACCCCUCAGGCUGAGACAUAAAGAUACUCUCUUCAAGAUUGCCACUUAGAAAAGCAGUAUUAACAUCCAUUUGUCAUAUUUCAUAAUCAUAAAAAGUGACUAUGGACAAGAGAAUCCUUAUAGACUUUAACAUAGCAACAGAGAAAAAGUUUCCUCGUAGUCAAUCCCUUCCCUUUGGGUAUACCCAUUUGCUAAGAGUCUAGCUUUGAAGGUUUGUACCUUCCCAGCUGAAUCUCUCUUUCUCUUAUAGAUCCAUUUGCACCCUAUGGGUUUCACCCCUUCAGGUAGAUCUACAAGCUCUCAUACUGAAUUGAAGUACAUAGAUUCCAUGGUUUUAACCUAUUAGUCCUUGUCUACAUCAGUCAUUGCCUAUUUAUAGAACAAUGGAUCCUCAACGACAUCAUCUGGUAUGACAACCUGAGUUUCAGUUAAACCGAAGUAACGAUUAGGUUGUGAUAUAACUCUCCCACUGCAUCGAGGCAUUCUCAACAAUUGAGAAGGAUGAGACUAAUCGGAUGUGUUGGUUUCCUCAACUCUUGAUGAGGGACCAACUUCAUCAACAACCCUUGCUGAUUCAUUAGUAGCUUCACUUAAUUUUGAUUUGCUUCAUGGUUUAUGAUCUCUCAUGUUGUUUUCUUCCAAGAAAGUAGCCUUUGUCAAUAUAAACACUUUGUUUUCUUGUGGAUCGAAGAAUAGACCACCUCUCGUUUCUUUAGGAUAACCAAAAAAUUGACAUAACCUUGAACGAGAGUCCAACUUCUUAGAAUUUGACACUAAAACGUGUGCUGGACAACCCCAAAUUAUGGAGUGACUUAACUAGGUUUACAUCCUCUACAUAACUCGAAAGUGUAACGACCCAACUCUUUAUACUAAGUUGAGGUCAUUACUACUAAAACAAAUAAAGACUUUUUAUUUAAAUCAAAGAAAAUACUAAGUUUUAAAACAAACACUUCAAAUAUUUAUUCAUAAAAUAUAAGUAAAGUAUGUAAAGAAAACAAUAAAUAAAAUAUUAGUUUGGGCCCUAUUUAAAAUAAAAAUAUAUAUCUAAAAGUAAAUGUGGGUUCUGAAAUAAGUUUAUGAAAAUUUAAUAUUGAAAAUAUAAAUGCUAAAUAAAACAUAAAUUGUCCCCUAUGGAGAACCAUGGUGACUUCUUGUCAUUCGCCAACUUGCCUUUAUUUCUAUCUUUGCCUGAAAAAUUAAAUCUAGAAAGGAGUUAGUCUAAAUUUAUACUUAGUAAGGGAUCCACUAUUAGUCCCACUACGUGUUUGUUAAUUUUACGUUAAAGUCCUCCUAUAAGAAAGUACCGCAUAUCUAUUAUUCUACUGAAAUCACCCUAUCCAGUGAUCUCGUAGGGACAUAUAUGGGCUCUUGGUGAAGCAGAAGGAAUCACCCUAAAGAAGAGUCAAGUUGUAAGUGAUCUUGUCGAAUCACACAUCAAACCUAACCACAAAUACAUAAAUAGGUGGUGAUCCCGAGGGACACCUACAUGGUACGACUCUAACAAGUAAAGCUAACAGAACAUCAUAGCAUAUAUAUAGCAUAACAUAAAUAUCAUAUCUUAAUCGUAAUAUAUCUCAACCAUAGUAUAUCUCAUUCAUAACAUAUCAUGGUCAUCACAUAUCUCAGUCAUACAUAACGAUUUUCUAUGUUGCUAUCAUUAUCUAACAUCCUUAACAGUCACAUCACAUGCAUCAUAACUAUGUUAAUGCAUACUAAGGUAAAACAUAAUGUAAGAGGCUGGUAGUAGAAUCUUUUACCUGGAGAUUAAUUAGUUGAAAAUAUAGUCCCUUCCUGACAGUCAAUUCUCAAUUAAGUCAGGCCUAAACAUAAACAAAAUUAAAAUUGUUAAUUUUGUCAACCAUCAUCCAACUAUUUAAUUAAGCAUCCAAACUUACCCCAAGACUAAGGUUGAAUCCAACACAACCUUGAAUGAAAAAAUUUGCAGUUUCAAAUCCUCAAAUUAACACUUGAACCUUCGAGCAAAAGUAAUUCAACUCAUUCUCUUGUAAACUUAUUUAAGAUCCAAAGAAUAUUCAUUUGGACGUACCAAACCCAACACAAAUUCACCCAAAAGGCUCAAGAGAUACCAAAAAGUAACUUGGCUUGGACUAAGGUAGAAAUGGCUCACACAACUUGACAGAAGGAGAAUCGGCUCGACGGUUAGCUUGGGCGCACUACUCGCAAAGAGAGGAAAAAUCAGCAGAGUUGAGGGCAACUUGUGAAGAAGUGGAGAAUCGGCUCGGUGAUGCACAUAUCGGCUUGGUCAGGCAAAAGGUUCGUUCGACUGCUGCCUGCGAUGAGAUUUUGGUGGCACGAGACAGAACUUGCCGACAAUGAGGCUUGACAAAAACGUGCGAAAAAUAAAUAAAAAGAGAGAGACACCUCAACUUCACCUGUACGCGAACGGAGGAGGAAUGAUAGUGUCCACAAACGACGAGUGAUGAUCCUUGCAAUGGGUUCAGUGACGACUAGGGUUUGUGAAGAAGGAAGAAGAUGAUGAAUAGUUCUCUCUUUUCUUUGCACGUUUCACGAGGGUUAAUUAUAUAUAAUAAUAAUGAUGAUAUUUAUUAUUAUUAUCAUUAUUCCUUUUCCAUUUCCAAUUAACAAGUUAACUCAAUUAAAUUAUACUCUGUCUCCUCAUCAAACCAAACUUUUUAUUUUUCCCAAGAAUACAAUAUCUUUCAAAAUAAUUAUAUUUUCCACAAUAUAAUUAUUUUCUCUCGCUCAAAAAUAUCUUUCCUAAAAAAGUCAAUAAUAAAUUAUUCUUACCCUUCCAUGACUUAGUUUAUUAUAUUUACUUAUAUAAUUAGCCAAUAAUCUUAAAUCUCACCAAAAUUUCCAAUAAUACAAUUAAUUAAAUAAUCUUCCAUUGAACAUUUAAUUAAUCACAAUUUCCACAAAACAAACAAUUCUAAAAAAUUAUAACACUAGACUAAAUCCAUCAUAAAUUAAAUUAAAUUAAGAUAAUUUAAAAAUAAGAUUACGUCCCUCCUUUGAGAAACUUUCGUCCUUGAAAGUUCUAAUCCUUGUAUAGCUCGGGAUAAUGAGCUCUCAUGUUGUCCUCUCUCUCCCAAGUAGCUUUUUCAACCUCGUGGUUUUGAUAAAGAACAUUAAUUAAUUCCCCUGUUAUGAAGCAACUUAACUUCUUUUGCCAAAAUCUCAACUGGUUGCUCCUCAUAGCUCAAGUUCUCAUUGAUUUGCAAUGACUCAUAAUCAACUAUAUGUGUUGGAUCUGUUACACACUUCCUCAGCAUGGAUACAUCGUAUACAUCAUGAACUGCAGACAAUGACAGAGGCAAUGCCAAAUGAUGAGUUACGAAACGUGGACUCAGGUUUCCCUUCUUCUCAAACCUCAUAACACCCUUCAUAGGUGCUACCUUUACAAAAACCAUGUCCCCUACAUCGAACUCAAGAUCCCUACGUUGUUCAUUGGCGUAACUCUUCUGUAUGCUCUGCGCUGUCAACAUGCGGGCUCUAAUCUUCUGUAUGGCCUCAUUGGUGGUCUGAACUAGCUUGGGACAUAACAUCCUCUGCUCACCAACCUCACCCCAACAUACAGAGAAUCUACAACACUUACCAUGCAGAGCUUCAAAUGAUGCCAUGUCAAUGGUAGCCUGCUAACUGUUAUUAUAAGCGAACUCCAUCAAAUGCAAAUAGGAGUCCCAACUUCCUGAAAACUCUAGCACACAUGUUUGGAACAUAUCCUCCAAAAUUUGGCUCAAACGCUCUGUCUAACCAUCAGUCUGAGGGUGAACAGUUAUACUAAAGUCCAAUCUCGUGCCCAUGGCAGCCUGAAGUCCUUUCCAAAACUUGGAAGUAAAAUAGGCAUCUCUAUCAGAAACAAUUGACACGAGCACUCCAUGCAGUCUCACUAUCUCGGUCAUAUACAACUGUGCCCACUUACUGGCAGUACAAGUGGCCUUCUCUGAGAUGAAAUGGGCUGACUUCGUGAGCUUGUCAACAAUAAACCAAAUUACUUUAUAACCCUUCAGAGACCUUGGCAGUUCUAAAAUGAAAUCUAUAGACACAUUCUCCCACUUCCAUUCUGGCACACUCAAAGGUUGCAAAAAACCUGUUGGCUUCUGUUUUAGUGUCUUCACCUGUUAGCAAACUAGAGACUUAUUGACAAAGUCUGGCACUUCCCUCUUCAUAUUUUUCCACCAGUAAACUUGUUUUAAAUAUUUAUACAUCUUUGUACUAUUUGGAUGCAUAGAAAGUGGAGAAUUAUGGGCCUCAACCAACAACUCUGUCUUAACUACACUGUCUGCUGGCACACAUAACCGUCUCUCGAACAUGAGUCCAUCAUCAGAGGAUAAAGAGAACUCCUCAGCUUACCCUACUUCUGUUAAGCAUCACUUAUCAACCAAAUAAGGAUCAGUGAGCUGAGCAAUAAUAAUUCUCUGCCUCAAAGUUGGUUGUACUGACACCUGAGCUAACUGUGAGGUGACUUCUCCUACUAAAAAUGCAAUCUUAGCUCUCUCAAGAUCUCUGUGCAAAGGAACCUGACUAGUAAUGAGUGCUACAGAGUAUGAUACCUUCCUACUAACUCACGAUCUCAUGAUCGUAGUCCUUGACCAACUCGAGCCAUCCGCUAUCUCAUAUCUCAUAUUUAAGUCCUUGACCAAUUCAAGCUCUUAUGGUCAAUGAAGAUCUGAAUCUUCUCACCAUAUAAAUAAUGCCUCCAAAUCUUAAGUGCAAAAACUAUUGCUGCCAAACUCUAAAUCAUGUGUAGGGUAGUUCUGCUCAUGGCUCUUCAACUGAGGAGAGGCAUAAACAACCACCUUACCUUAUUGCAUCAAUACACAACUCAAUCCUUUCUAAGAGGCAUCGCUGUAAAUCACAUAACUCCCAGAUCCAUCUGGCACUAUAAGGACUGGUGUAGUAACAAGUUUCUGUUUAAGAUCCUGGAAACUGCUCUCACAUGCUGGGCUCCAAACAAAAGGAUUCCCCUUCCUGGUUAGCUAGGUCAAAGGACUAGCUAUACGAGAGAAGCCUUCCACGAACCUUCUGUAAUAACCUAUUAAACUCAAAAAACUUUAAACUUCACUGACUGUACAAGGUCGAGGCCAAAUGGUAACAACUUUAAUCUUUGCUGGGUCUAUAAUAACUCCUUCACUGGACACUACAUGGCCAAGGAACAAAACUUGCUUCAGUCAAAACUCACACUUGGAAAACUUGGCAUAUAGCCUAUUGGCUCGAAGAGUCUCUAAUACCUUAUGCAAAUACUCCUCAUGCUCAGCCUCUGUCUUGGAGUAAACCAAGAUGUGAUCAAUAAAAAAUAUCACAGAAGUGUCUAAGAAAUCCUUAAGCACCACCUUAUUCAUCAAAUCCAUAAAUACACCAGGAGCAUUUGUCGAGCCAAAGGACAUCACAAUAAACUCGUAAUGUCCAUAUCUGGAAAGGCAGUCUUGGGAAUAUCACUGUCUCUAAUCCUCAACUGGUGAUAUCCUGAUCGUAAAUUGAUCUUAGAGAACACAGUGGCUCCCUAAAACUGAUCAAACAAGCCAUCAAUCCUGGGCAAUGAAUAUUUGUUCUUGACUAUCACCUUAUUAAGCUUUUUAUAGUAAAUGCAAAGACACAUCAACCCAUCUUUCUUCUUCACAAAUAAUGCCGGUGCUCCCCAAGGUGACAUACUAGAUCGAAUAAAGCCCUUGUCCUAUAAUUCUUGCAACUAGACCUUCAACUCCUUCAGCUCAGCUGGAGCCAUUCUGUAUGGAGCUCUCGAUAUGGGACCAGUGCCUGGUUUCAGUUCAAUAGCAAAAUCAACCUCUUUGUGAGGAGAAAGUCUUGAAAGCUCUUCUAAAAAAACAUCGGGGUAUUUCCUUACCAUUCAUUCAGAUGAUAAGGAUACAUCGGGCUCUCUGGUAUCUACAACACUAGCCAAGAUACUCUAAGUACCUUGGUUGAACAACUUACUGGCCUUCAUGGUUGAGAUAACUUUGGGUAGGCCACAGUCCCCGCCCCCUUAUACUUUAAACUAGUCGCCUCAUGAGGGUUAAAAACUACCUCCUUGCGAGAAUAAUCUAUGUUUGCAUGGUUAGCAGAUAGCCAAUUCAUGCCCGAUAUUACAUCAAAGUCUUGCAUGUGUAAUACUAAUAAAGUUACAUCUAAAACAUGAUAUGCUAUUUCUAUUUAACAUGUUUUUAUCUUUCCUUUCGACAACAUAAUUUCUCCAGAUGGAGUAGAGACAAAUAACAUAUAACUCAAGGGUUCUACUUGUAAACUCAUAUGUUGAACAAAAAUUGGCGAUAUAAAAGAAUGAGAGGACCCCGAGUCAAAUAAUAAUAAAGCAAAGUGCUCCAAGAUUAGGAGUGUACCUAUCACCACUGUGUAAGCUUUCUCAGCCUCCUGUUGAUUAGUGGCAAAAACUCACCCCUAUCGAGAUGUAGAAGUCUAGUUCGAGAUAGGUUCAAACUAUUUCUGAGGGUAAUUAUCAGCUAUAUAUAUGUCAGGUUGCCUACACUUGUAGCAUAUACUACUUCCUAUUAGGCAAUGACCUGAAUGAGACCUUUCACAAUUAGAACACAUGUAUACUUCCUUCAAGGUUUUGCCUGCCUCAACAACCUACUGUCUAAGCUGCUGGAACAAACCACCUAAUCUCAAAUUCCUUUGUGGUGCUAUUGUAGGCUACUGCUAAGCCUUCCUUUUCUACCCUACAAUUGGACCAUUCUCUACAGCCUUGGCCAUCUUUAUCCUCUCAUGCAAACUCAAAUCCACUGUCAUGUGUAGUGCAUCAUCUUAGGUAGCUAGUCUAAAGACUCUAACGAAACCCUGGAUCUCCUACUUAAUGCCUUUGACAAACUUGUCAACUCUCUCAGUCUCAGUUCUCACUAACUCAGGUGCAAAUCGGGAUAACACAUCGAAUUCUUGAUCAUACUCCUCUAUGGCCAUAUUGCCUUGCUCCAACUUUAAGAACUCUUGACACGAAGAAGAAUUUGGCAUGAAAAUUCUCCUUAAACUACUUUUAGGUGAUCUGACUCAUAUCUCCACCCAACAUCCUCUAUGUGGACUUCCACUAGCCUCUGUCUCUAUCAGUCAGUAAGAACACGACGCACUAAACUUUCUGGUCAUUGGAGCACUUCAUGUAACGAAAGAUAGUCUUCACCGAACUCAACCACAUCUGCGCCUUGGUGGAGUUUGCCAAGGAUCCAUCGAAAGUCCGAGGGUUAUACUUCCUGAAAUCCCUCAGGUGUUUGGCUUCUGCUGAAAGCAUAUCAAGUAGGUUAUAUGCUACAAUUGGGGCCUAAACUCCCGCAACUGGGAUCUAAACACUUGCAGCCGGUGUCCGUACAUGAGUUGUUUGGAUAUCCUAGGUAGGUUGUCACUGUGCCAAUACUUUGAACAAUAAGUCUAUGUACAUUUGCUCCAUGGCAGCAAGGUAUGCAUGAGUGACAGGUGCAGUAGGGUCGAUAACUUGUACAACAUGCUGUCCUUAAGGCUGGUUACGUCUAAAAAUUAUUUAAAUUCAAAAACUGUAACACCCAAAAAUUAAGGUAAUUUUAUUUUUUUAAUUAUCUUAGUUUAAUUUAAUUUAUGAUGGAUUUAAUUGGGUGUUAUAAUUUUUUUAGUAUUGUGGAAAUUGUGAUUAAUUGAAUGUUCAGUGGAAGAUUAUUUAAUUAAUUAUACUAUUGAAAAUUUUGGUGAGAUUUAAGUUUAUUGGUUAAUUAUAUAUGUAUAUAAUUAAUUAAGUUAUGGAAGGGUAGAAUAAUAUAUUAUUGAUUUUUUUUAGGAAAGAUAUUUUUUAGAGAGAAAAUAAUUAUAUUGUGGAAAAUCUAAUUAUUUGGAAAGAUAUUGUAUUUUUGGGGAAAGUAAAAAGUUUGGUUUGAUGGGUAUUUAACGAGGAGAGAAAGUAUGAUUUGAUUUUGGUUAAUUUGUUAAUUAGCAAAAGAAAAGGAAUAAUGAUAAUAAUAAUAAAUAUCAUUAUUAUUAUUAUAUAUAAUUAACCCUUGUGAAACGUGCAAAAAAGGGAACUAUUCAUCAUCUUCUUAAUUCUUCACAAACCCCAGCCGCCAUCGUGCUCCGUUGCAAGGAUCACCGCUCGUCGUUUGUUGACACCGUCAUUCCUCCUUUGUUCCUUAGUGACGAAGUCGCACAAGCCGACUAUGCACCCCCCACCUCCUACGUUUGCAUGUAGGUGAAGCCGAGGAAUCUCUCUCUUUUCAUUUCAUCAAUCAUCUAGUUUUUGAACGUUUUCAUUAAGCCUUACCGUCGUUAAGUUCUGUCUCGUGCCACCCAGAUCUCAUUGCCGGCAAUCGUUAAACGAACCCUUGCUUGAGCAAGUCGAUCUGUGCAUCACAGAGCCACUUAUCUACUCCUUCGUAAAUCGCGCUUGUCACAGCCGAUUUCUUUCUCCUUUUGUGAGUUGUGCACCCGAGCUGACUGCCAAGUCGAUUCUCCUCCUGCAGAGCCGCGUGGGCCAUUUCUGCCUUAGUUUAAGCCAAGUUGCUUUUUGGUAUCUCUUGAGCUGUGUUGGUUUGGUAUGCCCAAAUGAAUAUUUUUUGGAUCUUAAAUAAGUUUACAAUGGAAUGAGUUAAAUUAUUUUUGUUUGAAGGUUCAAGUGUUAAUUUGAGGAUUUGAGACUCCGAAAUUUUCCAUUCAAGGUUUUGUUUGAUUCAACCUUAAUCUUGGGGGUCAGUUUGGAUGCUUAAUUAAAUAGUUGGAAGUUUGGAUGCUUAAUUAAAUAGUUGGGUGAUGGUUGAAAAAAUUAAUAAUUUUAAUUUUGUUUAUGUUUAUGACUGAAUUAGUUGAUAAUUAAUCUCCAGGUAAGAAGUUUUAUUAUUAGAUCCUUACAUUAUGUUUUCCCUUAGUAUGCAUUAACGUAGCCAUGAUGCAUGUGAUGUGACGGUGAAGAAUGUUAGAUAAUGAUAGCUACAUAAAAAAUCGUUAUGUAUGACUAAGAUAUGUGAUGACCACGAUAUGUUAUGAAUGAGAUAUACUAUGGUUGAGAUACAUCAUGUUUGAGAUAUGUUAUUUAUGUUAUGUUAUAUGUAUAGACUAUGAUGUUGUGUUAGCUUUACCUGUUAGAGUCGUAUCAUAUGGGUGUCCCUCGGGAUCACCACCUAUUUAUGUUUGUGUGGCUUAGCUUUUAUAUGUGAAUCAAUAGGAUCACUUACACUUCUUUAGGGUGACUCCUUCGGGUUCACCAAGAGUCUAGAUGUGUUCCUACAAGAUCACUGGAUAGCGUACGUUUGGGAGCACAAUAGAUAUUCGAUAUUUUCUUACAGGACUAUAACGAGAGGUUAACAGACACGUAGCAGGAGUAGUAGUGGGUCUCUUACUUAGUAUAAAUUUAUACUCACCAUUUUCUAUGUUUAAUUUUUCAGGUAAAGGAGCAGGUAAAGGCAAGCUCGCGAAUGGCAAGAAGUGACCGUGGAUCGUCAUAGGGAACAUCUUAUGUUUUCUUCCACAUUUAUGUUUUGAGUAUUAAAUUUAUUUCAGAACCCAUGUUUACUUUUAGAUAUAGUUUUUUUAUUUUAAAUAGGUUCCGAACUAAUAUUUUAUUAUAUACUUUACUUAUAUUUUAUGAGUGUUUCUUUUUAAAACUUAGUAUUUUAUUUGAUUUAAAUAAAAAGUCUUUAUUUGUUUUAGUGGUAAUGAUCUCACCUUAGUAUAAAGUGUUGGAUCGUUACAGAAAGGUAUUUUAGAAACACUUUUCGAGGAACAUUGUUCAAUCUGCAUACCCCCAAAACGAGCAAGGCAAUUGAGCAUGACUCAUCAUUAAACGAACCAUGUCUAACAAGGUUUUAUUUCUCAUUUCUAAUAUACCAUUUUGUUGAGGUGUACCAGGUGCUGAAAGUUGUAAUUGGAUUCCAUGUUCUAUCAUAUAGUCCUGGAAUCUCAAAUCCAUAUACUCUCCACCUCGAUCAGAUAAAAGUAUUUUAAUUUUUUUUACUUGAUAGAUUUUUAACUUCAGCCUUAUACUUCUUGAACUUUCCAAGAGCUUCAGACUUACGUUUCAUUAAGUAUAAAUAAUCAUACCUUGAAUAAUCAUCUAUAAAAGAGAUGAAGUAUUCAAAACCUUCUCUAGCUUUUACAUUCAUUGGACCAUAGUGGUCUGAAUGUAUAAGUUCUAUGGGCUCUUUGGCUCCAUAGCAUUUUCUAGUAAAAGGUCUCUUUAGUCAACUUUUCUUCAAGACAAGAUUCACAUGGAGGCAAUGAAUCAUCUUCUAACUCAUUUAGAAGUCCAUUCUUUACCAAUCUCCCGAUCCUAUCGAGAUUAAUAUGACCUAAUCUUGAAUGCCAAAGAUAGGUAUUAUUUUGAGUAUUAGCAGUUUUAAACAUCUCAUGAUUUAAAAUUGCUUUCGCUUUGUUAGGUCUUAAUACAUACAAAAGUUGUCUUCAAGCUUAGCUGAACAAAUGUGUACACCAUUCUUAGAAAUGAACACUUCAUUUAAAGAAAAAUGUUACAUUAUAUGAUUGUUCAAUAAGACAAGAAAUAAAUAUAAGAUUCCUUUUAAUCUUAGGAACUAUAUACAAGUUUUUUAAAAACAAGAAUCUAUUUUAAAAAGAAAAUUUAACAUCUCCCAUUACACGAGCUGAAAUGGCAUCUCUCGUUUUAACUUUGAGUGUAUCUCAUCCUCCUCGAGCUGCUUAAAGGAACUAGUUUUAUGUAAAGAAGAGCAAACAUGACUAGUGGCUCCUAAAUCAAGUAUCUAGACAUUUUGGUCAUUUUCCACUAAACAUGUUUCUAAGGCAAGUAAAUUAUAUUUACUUUCUUUUUAAUUCUUCUUAAAUAUCUCUUGAAGCGAAUCCUUGAUCUGACGUCUAAUGACCAUGGUUUUGUGUUUCUUGCUUAGUAUGUCAGACAUACUAGACAAGAGAUACACACAGGCCUUGUCAUUGGCCUUUGUCCAAUGAUUAUAUGCAUCCCUAAAAUUUUUAGAUGCAUUUCGAGCAGAGGAAGUAGCAAAAUGGUGUAGUUGAAAGGAAAAAUCGUACUUUGCAAGAAUUUGCUAGAUCAAUGUUGAAUGAGUAUGGUUUACCUAAAUAUUUUUGGACGGAAGCCGUUCACACCGCUUGCUAUGUUUCAAAUAGAGUUUUAGUUAGACCCUCUUUAGAUAAAACUCCUUAUGAACUUUGGCAUGGUAAAAUUCCAAAUAUUGGGUAUUUCAAAGUUUUCGGUUGUAAAUGUUUUAUUUUGAAUAACAAAGAAAAACUUGGAAAAUUUGAUUCUAAGACGGAUGUUGGUAUUUUUCUAGGAUAUUCCUCUACUAGUAAAGCUUAUAGAGUUUUCAAUAAGAAAACUUUAGUUAUUGAGGAAUCUAUUCAUGUUGUAUUUGAUGAAUCUUGGAAUAAUGUUUCUAAUGAGUCUAUUUGUAGUGAUGAUUUAGAAAAAGAUUUUGGAGAUUUACUUGUUAAUGACAAAGGCAAAGAAAUUGUUCCAAGUAUGCAAGAUGUGAACAUCAUAGAAAAGAAAGAAGAGGGUUCUUCAUCCUUGCCUAAAGAGUGGAGAUAUGCUCUAUCCCAUCCCAAGGAUCUAAUUCUUGGCAAUCCCGAACAAGGUGUCAAAACUCGUUCUUCUCUUAAUUUAUUUAGUAAUCUUGCUUUUGUGUCUCAAAUUGAACCUAGAAGUUUUAAAGAUGCCGAAUGUGAUGAGUUUUGGAUUUUAGCUAUGCAAGAAGAAUUAAAUCAAUUUGAAAGAAACAAAGUUUGGAAAUUAGUCCCUAGGCCUUCUAAUGCAUCUAUAAUCGGAACAAAAUGGGUUUUUAGAAAUAAGAUGGAUGAAAAUGGAAAUAUCAUUAGAAAUAAAGCUAGACUUGUAGCUCAAGGUUAUUGUCAAGAAGAAGGUAUAGAUUAUGAAGAGACUUUUGCACCGGUUGCUAGAUUAGAAGCUAUUAGAAUGUUGCUUGCUUUUGCUUCUUAUAAAAAUUUCAUUUUGUAUCAAAUGGAUGUAAAAAGUGCUUUUUUAAACGGUUAUAUAUUGUAGAGGAAGUUUACGUAGAACAACCUCCGGGCUUUGAAAGUUUUGAUUUACCUAAUCAUGUUUAUAAGUUGGAAAAGGCUCUUUAUGGCUUAAAACAAGCUCCAAGAGCUUGGUAUGAUAGACUUAGCAAGUUUUUACUUGAGAAUGACUUUAAGAUGGGAAAAAUUGAUAAUACUCUAUUUAUUAAAGUUAAAAAUAAUGACAUGCUUAUAGUGCAAAUUUAUGUGGAUGAUAUUAUAUUUGGUUCUACUAAUUCAUCUUUGUGUGAAGAAUUUUCCAAGUGUAUGCAUAAUGAGUUUGAGAUGAGUAUGAUGGGAGAACUUAGUUUCUUCCUUGGCCUUCAAAUCAAACAACUCAAGGAUGGCAUCUUCAUAAGUCAAGAAAAAUACACAAGGGAUUUGCUCAAGAAAUUCAAAUUCAAUGAAGGUAAAGUUGCAAAAACUCCUAUGAGCACUACCACUAAGCUUGACAAAGAUGAAAAAGGUAAGUGUGUGGAUAUAAAGACUUAUCGAGGUAUGAUCGGAUCUUUACUUUAUUUGACCGCUAGUAGACCCGAUAUCAUGUUUAGUGUAUGUCUUUGUGCUAGAUUUCAAUCUUGUCCUAAAGAAUCACAUUUCCAUGCCGUUAAAAGGAUACUUAAAUAUUUGCUUGGAACUAUUGAUGUUGGAUUAUGGUAUCCUAGAAAUGUUGAGUUUAAUUUGGUAGGAUAUUCCGAUGCGGACUUUGCCGGUAGUUUACUUGACCGUAAAAGUACUAGUGGGACUUGUCAAUUUCUUGGUAGUUCCUUAGUAUCUUGGUUUAGUAAAAAGCAAAAUUCGGUUGCCUUAUCCACUACCGAAGCGGAAUAUAUUGCGGUUGCUAGUUGUUGUGCACAAAUUCUUUGGAUGAAACAAGCUCUUUGUGAUUUUGGAUUAAAAUUUGAUAAUGUGCCUAUAUUUUGUGAUAAUACUAGUGCCAUAAAUUUGACUAAGAAUCCUAUUCAUCAUUCUAGAACUAAGCAUAUAUAUAUUAGGCAUCACUUUAUUAGAGAGCAUGUACAAAAUGGUCAUAUUACUCUUGAGUUUGUAAGCUCCAAUAAUCAAUUAGCGGAUAUAUUUACCAAGCCUUUGAGUGAAGAAAGCUUUUGUAAAAAUAGGCUUGAGCUUGGAAUUAUUCGUUGGGAUGCAUCUUGAUUUUAUAUCUUACUUGAUAUUGUUACCGUAAUGCAUAUUGAUAGGAGGAGAAUUAGACAUUUUGUAUGUGUUCAUGUUUUUUGGGAGAGCUAACUUCAUUGGUAUUGUUUUUGAUGAUUCCAAAGGGGGAGAAGUAUAAGAAAAAUAUGUUUUUAUCAAUUUGUUGCAUAAUUGUUUCUAUUGAAUAAUGCAUAUUUUUUUAGAGAAAAAAAAUUAAUUAAGGACAAAGAAGGUUCUCUUAUCAAUUGUUUUCAAGUAUGUUCUUUGUGGUGAAAUAUAUACAUGAGCUUUAUGGUUAUACAUCUUGAUAAUAGAAUUACUUGUUGAUCAUGUGUGUUUCAAGUUAUUUUUCUUCAAUGAUUUGUCAUCAUAAAAAAGGGGAGAUUGUUGGCUUUUUGGCCCUUAAUCUCAAAUUUAUUUAUUUUAAUUAUUCAAUUAAUUUAUGUUUUGAUGAUAACAAAUCUGAUUUUUUUAUUGACAAUUUUAUUAAUUUGAAUAGACCAUAUCGUAGAGCUUGGAAAAAUGAUUCUAACGCCUCUUGAAUCACCCAAAUCGAAGUUCAAAUGAAGAAAAUAUUGCUAAAAGAAGGUUAACAGAAAAAUACCCGAGAUGGUGACGUGGCGACCAAGCAUUCAAUUUGAACCAAUUAGAGAAAGCCACUUGGAGCAAUGAAGGAGUAACAAAUGUGGCUUUUUGUUAUGUUUUAUUGGCUUUUAUAAAGAAAAUGAAUUUAAAAAGAAAAUGAUUUUAAUAUUAUUAUUUUUCCUUGUGUCUAACGGCUAGUUGUUUUAAAAGAUGGUGAAGUUGCUUUAUUGAUUUCUUUUUAAACAAAGUAUUUUGAAAAGACAUAUUAUUAUAUUAUUAUUUGUAUUGUGUCUAACGGCUAAUUAAGUUUAAAUCUCAACCAUUCAUUUUUCUUUUACUUAUAUCUAAUGACCCAAAUGAUUUUGAAUUUAUCUUUCCUCUCUUUUUAAAUACUUCACAUUUACACAAGAUCACAACAUCUUUACAAUCCUCAAGCAAAAAGCCAACAUUGUUAUUCUCUCUAAAGCUUCCAAUUUUUAUUCUUUUCAUCUUAUUCUUGAGAGCUUCUUAUUGUAUUGUGAGGAUUAAAUUUGUGAGCUUCAAAUUAUAUACUCACUCUUUUAGAGAGUUUUCUUUUGUAUGAUUUAAAAACUUCAACAUAUUGUAACGGUUGGAUCCUAACCCGUGGAAAGGAUCGAGUUUGCUCUUGAACCCGAAAAAGGAGCAAGAAUCGGUUCGGCUCAAAUCCGUGAAAAGAGUCCAAAGAAGAUUUUCAAUCAAAAUCCCAAGAGGUGCUUGGGAAAGUGGAUGUAGGUUGAGUUUAACCGAACCACUAUAAAAUUACGGUGUCUUCUUCUCUAACUCUUUUCUAAUUAUUUUUUAAUUUAAUUUUAGUUACAUACUCUUAUUGGUUGAGUUUGAUUGCAUACUUCCAUUCAUAUAUUUUUAUCAAUCUUGUUAUUUAACAAAGUUUACAAAGUUCUUUAUUUAAAUUUAAAAAGUAUCUAAUUAGUUGAUUUUACUUUUUAUUUGUCAAAAAAGUUUAUUUAAACCCUAUUCACCCCUCUAGGGUUGCCAUACCGAUCCAAAAAUUGGUAUCAGAGCAAGGUUGCUCAUCUUGAAAUUUUAAUUUCUUGAUAAACUUUAUUGUUAGAGCAUUAUGGCAAACCUAUUGGCAAAUGGUAUUGUUGAAGGUCAAUCUACUUGUUGCUCAUCACUGUAGCAUGAUAAUUGAAAUGACCUUAGGGUGGGGAUUGAAAUCAAGAGCUACAACAAACAUCCCUGUGGAGGAAGAACUACAAAAAACAUCGUUGAAGAAGCAGUCCAUUCUCUUCUUCUAUGUAAUUCAUAAGCAUGAAUCAUAUGUGUCCACAUAAUCCCUUUUUAUUCAUUGAAAAGGAUAUGUUAGAGUGAGUAGGCCCAAAUAUCAUUGGGAAUAGGAGUAGACCAUCCAAAGGAGAAGACAGUACACCAUGAAUCUGUACAAAGGAAUAUAUUCCUCCCAUUACCAAGCUUAAACUUUGCAACUUGAAAUGCUGAUCCAUGGACUUCUCAAACCUAAACCAAGCUUACCCGAAGUGCACCAAAGAUUUGGAUCAACUCCAUGAAUACUUCUAACAAUUUUGCACCAUAAAGAGUCCUGCUCCUUAAGGAUUCUCCAACUCCAUUUAAACAAUAAAGCUGUAUUUCUGUUUUCAUUUCCAAUCCCUAGACCACCAUCUUUUAGAGCUUUCGAAGCUAACUCCUGUUUAACCAAAGGAUUCAGCUUGCUGCCUUUUUGACCUUCCCAAAAGAAGUUACAUAAAAGUCUCCAAUUCUUGUAUCACCAAGAAAGGCAUUUGGAAUAAGGACAUAUUAUAAGUUGGUAGGUUGGCCAAAACUGAAUUACAUAAAGUUUAACGGGUCAUUGAUUCCUCUGCUUCUUUUACUGUUAAAUCCCUAAUUGAUGAUUUAACUUGUUCAAUAGGGUCCUCUACCAGAAAUCUUUAUUCUAUUAUUCGGUCUGAUCACUACCCAAAGAAAAUUAAAUUAUUCUGGGAACUUAGUCACGGUGCCAUUAAUACUGCUGAUUGCCUCCAACGCCAAAUGUCGUAUAUGUCUUUUUCUCCUACUUGGUAUGUUGUGUGUCAAACUGCUGCGGAAUCUGCCUCUCACCAAUUUGCGCACCGUUCCUUUGCUACUCAGUUUUGGCACAUCAUCUGGGAUGCUUUUUGGUUGGUCGAUCUCUCUUUCCAAUAAAAACUUCUUGGUGGGUCACCUUUUUGUGGGAUGUAAAAAGACAAUUUGGUUGGCUAUUGUUCGUGCCUUCUCCUAGACUUUAUGGACUGAGCACAAUAGGAGGCUGUUUCAGGACUCUACUGCCUCUUGUACUUCUUUUUUGGACACCAUUUUAUCUACUGCUUUUUAUUGGUACAAAAAUGGGCACCCUUUUAAGAACUAUAGUCUCUCCUUUCUCUUUUCUAAUUGGCUAUAUUUUUUUAAUCACCUUUAGGAGUUUGGGUUUCCCCUGUUUCAUUUUAUCAAUGAAAUGUUUCUUAUCUUAAAAAAAAAAAAAGUUAAACGGCCCCUCUGGACAAGUUAUACCCUUUUCCAUUUAUCGAGUUUCAAAUGGACUUUAUCUAUAACAGGCUGCCAAAAAGACUGCUGUUUAGAAUAACCACCAAGAGGUAAGCCAAGAUAUAUAAAGGCAAUUACCAGCCUCCCAAUUCAGCCUUGAAGAAGUAGAGAUCAAUGUAGCCUCAUCAAUAUUGCCUCCAUAUAAUGCUUACUUCUCCCAAUUAACUUGCUGCCCUGAGCACAAUUCGAAGAGAAUAUCUAACAUGGCUUCUAUUUUUUAUUCUAAAAUCUUUCAAUCCUGCAAUCAUAGACGAUACCUUUCUUUUUGUAAAUAAGGAUAAGUAGGACGUGGGGAGUUUGAAAGGGUUGCUUGUAGAAGAGUUAGAUGACCCCCCCCCCCCUCCCCCGAGUGGUUCCAUGAUUGUAAACAUCUCUCAACUUUCACAAUCAUAGGAGUUCAAAAGGAUAACAUACGAGGCUUGUACUUUUUGUGAGAUUGUGGAGUGCAUAAUGAAUCUAAAGAAUAUUUAAGGUAACAGAUAGCCUCCUAACAAUGAAAUGCAUUGAAAGAAAAUGUUGCACUAAGAAAAAUAAAUAACGAAUUCUGCUCAAUAUAAUAAAAAUCAAACAAAUCAACAUAAUGGACUUACUGUAUUGCCUUUCUCUAUGUACCAAUGAAGCCUAUCAACAAUCUGCAUUGCAGAAGACAUUUUAGUAUUUACAAGGACUAUGAAAUGGAAAAAAUAAUGAGAGCGAGAAAAAAUUAAACAGGAAAAAUAAUGGAGAAAACACGUCCAUAUGUCUGGACAGCAAAAAAGACCGGCUGCUAACAAUUUCCUUCUGCUAUCACACAUUGAUGUUUUAUAAGAGACAUCAUCAGACAAAAGCGAAGUAGAAACAGCUUAGGGACGGUGAAAAGUGAACCCCAUCCCAAAAAAACUAAUUGCAGAAAAUUUGACCAAUUGUUGUGAUGCAAAGAAAUUGGAUAAUUGCAAAAGAAUUGGCUAUAACUAUGAGCCCACCACAAGGAGAUGAGUUGUAAAUUUCCACCAAAAGAAGUUAUAUCAGAAGACUUAGCUUCAAAAAGUUUAAAGUUACUUUCAAGCCAACGCAACUAAAGGAAUGCCCCGACAGCAUACCCCAAAGGACUUCAACUUCACUUGAGAAAGCCAGUCAUCAAUAUGAUUAGAAUUAGAAAGACAAGCGGAAAUCUGAAGGUACUAAGCAGAAAGCUUCUUCCCUUGGAAGCAAAGAAGCAAUGAGGAAAAAGGUGAUAAAUAUUGUCCUCCUUUUCCAUAUACAAACUGCAUAUGAACAGGCAAAAAGGUUAAACCUCAUCAAAUUCUGAAGCCUAUCCUGAUUAUUAAGACUCUUAUAAUCUCAGGACCAUAUAAACACUUCCAUGUUCUUUGCGAUCUGAAAAUUCAAUACACUUUUAAUAAGUCAGGACAUCAAAGAAGUAUUCACUUUAGAAAUAUUCAUAAAUGCCUCCUCCCACUUUGUGAAGAGGGAUAAUGUGAAGAAACUAAUUUUGCAAGGGGGUUCGGGUGAUACCCAGUACAGAAGAGAAGUCCAAUUGUAAAAAAAACAUUUCAUUUAUAAAUGAAAUCUGGGGAAAACCCCAAACACCUAAAGGAACUUAUAGAAGAGAAGGAUGUCCAAUUGUUAACUAAAAUAGAUUAUCUAUAGAGAGAGGGGGGGCUUAGCUUUACACCAAGGAAAAGAAAUAGACAGAACAAAUUCCAUAAAAUAUUUGAACAAGGAAGAAGAAUCAUGAAAAAGCCACUUAUUCCUUUCACCCCACAGAUACCAAAAGAACGCCGCAUGUCAACCAAAGUGUCAUCUUUGUACCACCAAAGGGUUGACCCACCAGAAGAGAAGCCAAUGUGUCCAAAAUGUUAUUAAGACACGUAUAAGACCAUCAAAAAGCCUAAAAAGAAUAUCCCAAAAAUUGGCAGCAAGAGGAAAAUGGAAAAACAAAUGGAUCGAAGAUUCAGCGUAGCAGCAACACAUGUGACACCAAGAAGGAGAAAUAGACAUAUAAAGCAUGCAACGUGGAAGACAAUCAGCAGUAUUGAUGGCACCCCAACUAAGAUCUUAAAGAAAAAUUUUCAUCGUUUUAGGAAAAUCUAUCUUUCCAAAUCACAGAACAAAAAUCAGACAAUAAUGGAUCAACCGUGCCCACUAAGUCAGCUAUAAGGGAUCUAACAGUAAAACCAGAAGUAGGAUCAAGAGGCCACAACCAAGAAUCCAAAUAGCAGUGCAAGCUAACAGCAGCCAGGUGGAGAGAUACUAAGGCCCUUUUGACCAAGUGGAUUCAAAGAUAUUACAAGCAAAAGUUCUCUGUUGGGUGGAAGGUGCUCACAGCUUAUUAUAGCUCCUCACAUUUCCAACCAAAAGCCUAUUCUCAGUGUCAAGUCUUCCUCAUAUAUCCCACGGAAAAGGAUUAUAAGCUACUGCCUAUUGUCAUCUUCCUUUUUCCCAUAUUUCUUUCAAGAUUGGAAUGGGUCAAUACUUUGUUUUCAAUCCACUUGGAGAUCAAAAGGAACUGGAUGGAUCUUUCUUGAAGCUCAUGGAAAAUCAGGAAGAAUGUUAACCAAGUGAGAUGAAAGUAAAUUUUCUUUUAUUGAAGUAUUGAAGGGGCCACUCACUGUCAGUUAAAUGCAGAACAAUGUGCAAUAAGUUGUGUUGGGUAACCAAUAUUUAUGGACCUACUGAUUACAGAGAGAAAAUUCAUUUGGUCAGAGCUGCUCUCCCUCAUUGGUUAUUGUAUAGAAGCUUGGUGUUUGGGAGGGGAUUUUAAUAUGACCAAAUCAAAGGGGAGCGAUUUCCAGCAAGUAGAAUGACUUGUGGCAUGAAUGAGGAAAUUCAAUAAAUUCAUUGAAGAAUGGAAACUCAUUGAAGUUAUUUUACUGAACAGAAAAUUAACAUGGUCAAGAGAAGGAAGAGUAGUUUUGAGAUCAUUGCUUGACAGAUUUUUAGUUACUUUUGACCGGGACAAGGCUUUUGCGAACACACGUGUAACUCGUCAAGUAAGGAUCUCCUCAAACCACUUCCCUUUUUUAUUAGAAGCAGGGGCAUUCGAGUGGGAGCCUUCCCCUUUUCGAUUUUGCAACAGCUGGUUGCUAGACAAGCAUUGCUGCCAAUUUAUUGAAAAUUCAUUAACCACAAGCACUCCUCCGGGCUGGAUGGGCUUUGCCUUAUCAACUCAACUCCAAAACAUUAAGGGUCAACUCAAAUCAUGGCAUUCAGAUUAUGAAAGAAAACAGAAAAGUCAUGAAGAAACCUUAUUAAAAGCCAUCGCACUAGAAGAGAAAAAAUAUGAUCAACCGGAUACGUGCACAGUGGAUCACUUAUUGUUAAUAAGAGAGUGGAUCUUCUAGCUCUUUGUAGAAGGGAGGAAAGAGAUAUAAUCCAGAAAACUAAGUUGACUUGGCUGAAAUUGGGGAACAAAAAUAUGAGUUUCUUCCAUCGUUCUCAUCGGGGGAGAAAAAAAAAAAAAGAAGUCUAAUUCCGAAGCUUGUUAAUAAUCAAGGAAACCCAACCACUUUAUUCUUUGAAAUUGAGCAUUUAAUACUUGAUUUCUACAGCACCCUCUAUGAGAAAUCUCCUCACACCUCCGUUUUUUAUUGGUCUGUAGUUUCAGCCGAUCAAAAUAAAAGGCUUAUUUCAAAAUUUAGUUUGGUGGAGAUCAGGGCAGCAUUAAAAUCAAUGGGAAGAAACAGAGGCUCCAGGUCCGGAUAGCUUCACAGUAGAAUUCUUCAUCAAAUUUUGGGAUCUCCUCAAGGAAAAUCUUUGUAAAUUAUUCAAUGAGUUCUAUGGGACUGGGAAACUAAAUGCAUGUAAAGGAGAAAUUUAUUUGCUUGAUCAAGAAAAAGGAAGAUGCAGUAAAGGUAAUUGAUUUCCGGCCCAUAAGUUUCACUACUUUGCUGUACAAAUUGAUUGCAAAAGUGCUUGCUGAAAGAAUGAAGAUAAUUAUGCCCAGUAUUAGAGCUCUCACUCAAAGUGCCUUUUUGGAUGGCCGCCAAAUUCUGGAUCCUGUACUUAUUGCAAAUAAAGUUGUGGAGUAUUAUAGGUCCAAAAAAAGCAAGGAUGGAUUACAAACUGGACCUUGGAGAGGCAUUUGAUCGAGUUGAUUGGGGUUUCUUGGAAAGAAUUUUGAAGCAGAAAAAUUUCAAUCAUUGAUGGAUCAUCUCUUCGAUCAUGGAUUGUGUUGUUUUUUUUUUAAGAGACACAAGGCAAACUCUAUUAUAGAAAUAAUAUAAAAACUGAAAUAAUAUACCCCCAAACACCUCUGUUUCAAUUUAGGCAUUAACAGUUCUAAUUAUGCACUAUUUUAAGGCUGUUGAAGAAGAAAUAUGUAAGUUUCAAAUUAGAACUUGCCCAGGUACCAACAAGCUACAAAAUCUUUUGGCAUGUCACUUGUUUAAGUCAGAAAAGUAAAAAUCCUCCAUCUCAUGAACUCCCCCAAAUCAAAAGUCAAGCGCUUCAUAGCUCAUUGCAAGACCAACAACUGAAAUGAGUUUCUAAAACCCAUUCUCUUUUUCUAUUACUGCAUUCCACACCUGUCCGACCACGGUGCUGCCAUGAUUGAUCCAAAUUUUCCUAAGUAACUGAAUGCCUUUGCAUUGCAAUUACUCAUCCCCCCAUGUUGAUAUUCCGUCCAUUCCAAUUUCAACUAUUGGGGAUAUUUGUAACCUUCCAACUCGAUCUUGGCUUUUAGAUUCCUUUCUAUUAGCUGAAAAUGAUGCCAAGUUAGGCUUUAAAUUCAUCUCCUCUACUUCUUUCUCACCAACCUUUUGGAGAACAGCAUCCAUGUCUUCAAUAAGAUCAUCUCCGAAAAGCUGUUCAAAUGGCACUUCAGCGUCGUCAAUAACACCAAUCUGCCUUUCCCCUUCCUUCUUUGCUUUCUUCUUAUGGUUUUCAAUCUUGGUAAGUGUCUCCUUGUGUAUUGGCAAAGAUGGCUCCUUAUUGCUUUUUGUUCUUUUCUGCUUUGAAGUCUUCUUUUCCUUAUCAAUAUCAUUGGUACCGAGAUUUAUCUUAUUGUCAAGAGAUGGAAUUACUUUCUCCUCCCUGGUGACCUUAUCCAUCUUACGUUUUUUGCGUUCCAACUUCCUGUCCACAUCAGCACCAUUAGUAUGAUCAAGUUUGCCAUCAGUGCCUUGAACAGACGGGUGUGUUUCAACAUUCCCAUUCAGUUUUCUAUCCUUUUUCUCUUUUUGACGAUCUAGGCUCCUGAUUGGAGUGUCGUCUUCUUUAUCACUCCCAUUAUCAUUCUCAUUCUGAAUGCAUUUAUCAAUUGAUCUCGCAUUCAAUACACGCAAGCCUGGAACCAGUCGACAAAUCUUUUUAUCUAACUUAGCACUUUCAGCAAUAGGAUUCCCUCGAACAUAAAUAUUCCUCAGAUAGCCUAAUGAACUCAAUACCUUUAAAUCUGACCAUCUCAUGAUGACAUUAUUUCCCAAAUCCAAAUUCAACAACUUCUUGUUAUGAGCCAAAGCAUUGGGGAGCAUCCUGAUUUCAUUGUGAGCAAGUCUAAGCUCUUUAAGUUCGAUACAAAACUUGAGGGAUUCAAUAGAUUGAUGUUUGCAGUUAGAAAGGGAUAGCUUUUUCAUUGAAUUCACUUUCAACAAAGAAUCUCCAAUACUGUGGAUUGGAUUUCUAGAAAGAACCAGAGUAUUCAGGUUCUUCAUCUGAUCAAGCUUGCAAAUAGAAGCAAUCUCAUUGUCAUUCAAAAUCAAAGCACAAAAGCCAACAAGGGGUCUAAUUUCGUCCAUUGACCGAAGCUUAUUCUUUCCCGCAUUUAAUACAUUAAGUCUAGAAAGCCCUUCAAUUCCUUUUAAGUUAUCAAGUUUGUUUUGUACAACUGAGAGCCACUUCAAAUUGGUGCAUGACUCCAACCCCUGAAGCGAUGUGAGAUUGUUGAAUGUCAAAUCAAGCUUCUCCAAGUUUUUGAAAAGGGACAAACCAUUUAUAUCAGAAAGAGCCUUUUGAUUGAGCUUGAGAGUAGUGAUGGUGAGUGGGUCUUUGGUUUUGUAAUCAUUGAGAACUUGCUGUAUAUCCAAGCAAGACAUAGUUGUGAAAACCCUAGUUUUCUCUGUUAGGAACAGACACUGCCUCCGAAAACGCCUUCAAACUCCGCUGUCUCUGCUGCUUGUGUGCUGGAUUGAUCAUGGAUUGUGUUAAAAACCCUAAGUAUUCAGAAUUCGUCAAUGGGAGGCCCAGAGGAAGAAUUCAAGCCUCAAGAGGGUUAAAGCAAGGGGAUCCCCUUUCCCUCUUUCUUUUCUUAUGGUUAGCGAAGUGCUUAGUAGUUUCAUCUCAAAUCUACACUUGAACGGUUUGUAUGAAGGUUUCAUGGUAGGAAAGAACAAUGUUCAUGUUCCCCUCCUUCAAUUUGCAGACAACACCUUAAUAUUUUCCAAGUUUGAUGAAGUUAUUCAUGAAAACGUUAAAAAGACGCUUGAAAUAUUUUAGUGUUAUGGGCAAAAGAUAAAUUGGGAAAAGUCAUCUAUAUGCGGAAUUAAUAUUGGGGAAAGUAAGAUCUCCUUAGCGGCAUCCAUGAGGAAUUGCUAAACAUUCCUCAUGCCAAAAAAAUCUCUAAUUCCAUUGAAAGAACCAUGGAGGAACUUCUUUUGAGAAGGGAACAACGGUAGCAAGUUGAACCACCUAGUGAAAUGGGAAUUAGUUUCCAAACCCCAAGGAGAUGGGGGCCUUGGGCUGGACAAGCUGAAAUUUAGAAACAUUACUCUUCUUGCCAAGUGGAGGUGGAGGUUCAUGGCAGAACAAAACUCUCUAUGGUAUAAGGUGGUUUGUAGUAUUCACGGGAGUAGCCUCUUCCAGUGGCACACAAGUGGCAAAGAAAAUUCAAGUUUAAGAAGCCCUUGGAUAAAUAUUUCUAGAUAGUGUGGCAGCUUUUAAAGUUGGAAAGGGUGACAAAAUUUUGUUUUGGUUGGAUCCAUGAAUGGAUAGAAUUGCUUUGAAGACCACACUCCCAAGCUGUACAGAAUUGCCCUUAAUCCAAAAGGCUCGGUUGUAGAACAUUGGAACGCCUCCACUUCCUCUGGGUUUCUUGAUUUCAGAAGAUUGUUAGGAGCUUGAAAUCUCUAAUUUUCAACUUCUCCUGGGCUCCUUGGAAAGGACAAGAUUAUCCAAUAUUGAGAAUAAAAGAAUCUGGUUAAUGGAAACUAAUGGGGUUUUUUCAGUAAAGUCAUUAUCGAAGCACUUGUCUCCUGCCACUCCGAUGGACCUACAGUUGGAAAAAAGCCUUCAGAAAUCUAAAAGCCCGAGGGUAAGUAUAACUCUAUCGAUUAUGUUGUUCAGGAGUUCAAUUUGUGCAUCCAUUAUGCAAAAGAAGUUACCCACUCAUUAUAUUUCGCCACAUGUAUGCCCAUUCUAUCUCAAAUUUCAUGCGGAACUCCAGCACUUGUUUGAAUGUUUAUAUGCUGCCAAGUGUAGGAGUAAACUCUUUCACACCUUUAAUCUCAGCUGAGACCUUGAUAAAGAAUGCAACAAUAAUGUUAGACAGUUACUUCUUGGUCCGGUUAUGAUGAAAAAAUGCCUCCUUGCAAAGUGCAAUACCGUCAAGGAAAUUUUGUUGGAACUGUGGUUUGAGAGAAAUCUGCGAGUCUUCCACAAUAAAGCCUCCUCUUGGUUCAAUAGAUACGAGUGCGCACGUCUGAAUGCCUCUUUGUGAUGCUCUCUACGAAAACAAUUUAAAGACUUCUCUAUGCAAUAUAUCUUACUAAACUGGCAGCCCUUUUAACUUUCCUCCUUGUUGAUGAUUCAGAUUUGGCUCACAGCCUCUGGUGUUUCCAACCGUUUCAGAAUCUUUCUUUGUCUGGCUGUAUUUUUAAUUCCUAGUCUGGUUAGAAGUUGUUUCUUAUGUCCUUUUUGAGUUGUAUUGGUUGUGGUUAGUCCUGCACUUGGACGUUAUUAGUUGUUCUAUCUUUUUAUUAUGUAGGAUAUGAUAAGGAUACUAAGAGGGUGUCAACUUAGCUGGGAUGCUCAAAUGCACAUCCUUAUCCUUGGUUUGAAUGCUCAUCGUAUAAUCCUCUUAUACUAUAAGAUUUAGUUUCAUUGUUCAUUUAUUAAUAAAUGAGGUUGUUUCCUUUUCAGAAAAAAUCUAAAGGAUCAACUUGAUCCAAUCUCUUUAAAUCAUAUCGACGAGAGUAAUGAAUGGUUGGUCGAAACAUUGGAUGAAGAAAAUGAUGAAGCUGAAGUUGACAAUGAGCUAGUUUUUUAUGACAACGACCUCACAUGGGGAGAUGUAGCUCGUGCUAGCGGCGUUAGAGAACCCCUCAUGUACACUAGAUCAAAAGGAAAGUCAACUACCUCUCCCUCCACUUCUAGAGUUCAAAAGCAAGCACCAACUAUACAAGUAGUUAGUAAUGAAGAUGAGGACGACGAUGAAGAGGAAUUAGACAUCAAGGAGAACAAUGGCCGAGGAGCAAUGGACGAAACCAUAGAGUUAGAUGAAUUAGACAUCAAGGAGAACAAUGGCCGAGGAGCAAUGGACGAAACCAUAGAGUUAGAUGGGGAUGUUGAUGAAUUUGAUAUUUGAUGGUGUUUUAAACUUGUACUUAUAGAGUUCUGUUCAUUUUUAUUUUUUAUUUUUUGAAAUGGAGACAAACUUCUUUAUUAAAUAGAACUCAAACUGAAAGUACAAGAGAAUUAUACAAUCGAUUUUGUUCAUUUUUCUUGAUUACAGAACUAUUAUUAAUCUUUGAGGCUUUGACAUUUGUCUAUAAACUUAUGUUCUACCUCAUAUAUUAUUUAUUUAUUUAUUCAUUCAUUGCACCUCGCUUCGCUCAGGCAUUGCCUUUAUGUCGCCUCUCACCUUGAGGUGCCCCUUGCGCUUUGAAAACACUGCUGAGAGAGAGCAGUUUCAUGUUUUUUUGAAACGGAGACAAAACUUCUUUAUUAAUAAGAACCCUAAGUACAAGAAAAUUAUACAAAGAGAGCAAUAAAGAAGAAAUAGAAAGGGGACAUAUCAACUAGGUCGACACCCCCAUAGCGUCAAUCAUCAUAUCCCGAAAAAGUGAUGAUAGACCACCAAUUAUUUUACAAUAUAGCUGGAGGAAAAAGGAGGCAGUUGCACGUGAACAAGAGAAGGGAAAUGGAGAAAGAAGUGGAAACCACCUUGGUGGGGACCAUGGUUAAUUACAUGGGAGAGAGUUAAAAGGGAAAGAAGGAAGGGAAGAGAGGGGUGGUUAGUCAGUUUCUGGAAGUGGAGGGCUGUAAUUUCCUGGAGAGCAGGGAAUGCAGAAAGUGUUCAGUUUCUGUAGUCUGUAGCAAGUUAUUUCCAUUAUCGUGAACUCCUUUACUGUUUUGUUGUUUUAUGUUGAACUUUGUAUUAGUUCUUGUGUUGUACUUUGUUUUCAAGACUCUGUGUUAGUUCUGUUUUCUGUAAAAGUUUGGCUGAUAAAUAAACUAGUAGAACACACUACUUGGUGUUCUAUCGAGUAAAUAUCAAAGCAAAACAAAACAAACAAACAGCCAAUUACCAGGUCCAGAAAAAAAAACAGAAAAUUAAAAGAAACCCCAAAAAACAAUUACAAUCUCAAAAUAAAAUUAAACAAGGUCAAGACUUCAAAGCUUCAAACUUCAGACAGUAAGAACUGCAAAUGGAGAGAAAAUGAUCCGGCAAUGGUUAGGCUCGAUUAAGAAAGGCAUUCCAAUUGAGGUAAAUAUCUUGAAUGGAAAAAUUAGCAGACUCAUUUUUUAAUGAACACCAAGCUGCAACACUAAGAUCUACUGCACACAUAAUUUCUGCUCUUUGACUUUGCUUUAUCAUGGAAGAAAUGUUGAUUCCACUCAAACCAUAAUUCUGAAAAUAAAGCUUUUAACAAAGUUAUCCAAAUGAUGCGAGAUUUUUGGGAAAAAACAGACUCGACAGCAGCUGAACCACAUUAGCGCCUAGAGAGCGAUCAAAAGUCCAAACUAAAUUGAACAAGGACAAAAUCCUUUCCUAGCCACAAUAAGAGACGGGACAAAACAAAAAAAAAUGUGAUAAAGGGUCUCACUAGAAAGAAAAUCCUUUCCCAGCCAAGAAAAUGUGACAAGAAUUCCCCCAGAUGGCGCAACAGAUGCCACAAAUUCUAGCCAAUAACCUUGGACCUCCACAGUGAUUUUAUGAAAACAGAAUUCAAACUAUCUUUCUUAGACUCUUGAAUCAUGAACACAUCUGGAUUGCAGAUUAUGAUGAAUUUUUUAGUGCUGCACAUUAAGAGGAAUCAUUUAUGCCCCUAGUGACCCAUGAGACAAUCUUCAUUAUGGCGGAGAGAAGGAUAGGGAUGGCUGCACUUCUAAAUUAGACCACAAUAAUUCCACAAUCACUGACUAUUGACAUCAACUCUUUAGGCAAAUCUGGAUGAAAAUUAUUUGUGACAAAACCCUCCUCAUUAAACAAAACAUUUAAGUCCGUCCCUUCAAUUUUUUAAUCUAAUUUAGGGUCAACUUCACUAAGAGCAACUUAUUCUUCACUACUAACACUGAUAGGUGAGAAAAUUUUCGGCUGGUCUUUAGGAGUUAAUUCAGCUUUGCAUGGGGAGCCUUGCUGACAAGAUGUUUUUGCAGUGGAGGUGGAGGAAUUUGAAAUGUUGAGACACUUUGAAGGAGAAGUGCUAUUUACUGACCUGUAAAAACUCUCAGGGACCUGGAUUUUAAAGCUGUAAACUUCCAAAAGAUCUGGGUUAUUGGCAGAAACUGAAUGCUUGAUGGUGUUAUUCCGAAAACAGUCCAAAGGGGGGAUUUUAAGGUCACAAACCCCAUUUAAUUCAGAUUUUAGCAAGGCAGCCCACACAUUGUUGAAGGAGGUUUGCGCGAUAUAGUGCUUAAGAAUUUUUGGAAUAUGUGAGGAAUUGCUGUCUUUGGCACACUUGGAACGAUUGAAAAUACCCACUUUUGAAGAAAGUUGGCCCCUGUUCGAACAAAAAGAAAAGAAUCAGACGUUUUGUAACGUUUUUUUGCAAUAAGUCUGAUGGGUUUUCCUCCAAAAUGCUUGGGCUAAAUUCGUUAUAACUCAAAGAUUUAUUGAAGUGGGCCCCUAUUCUUUUAUUCCUUUCAUUUAAAGACUCAAAAGAGGACUCUUUGGCUACUGGAAUAUUAAAAACAGAAACAUUUUGUAACGCUUUUUUGCAAUAAAUUUGCUAAGGUCCUCCGAAAUUCUUGGGCUAAAAUCGUUAUAACUCAAAGAUUUACUGAAGUGGGCCCCUUUUCCUUUAUUCCUUUCAUUUAAAGAUUAAAAGAGGACUCUUUAGCUCUGACGGGAAUAUUAUGGUUUAGGAAUUCAUAAUCUCCAAAAUGAAGAUAUAUAUUUCCCCUCCUUAGAUCAGUGACUUCAAUCGUGGAUGGCACAAAACCACAAGAAUUCUUCUUAACUUGAAUCCGAACUUCACUAACAUUAAUUAAAUUUAGACUUUCGGAGGCUAUAUCUAAGAGACCUCCAAAAUGAUCCCCAAUGACCUCAAAGGUACUCCUACACCAAUAAUCCCAGGGAAGUUUUUUAAUUUUUAGCCAACCGCCAUUCCCUUUUUGGACGAGUGGCCGGCUGUGUUUAAAUUUAAACCAGCUUUCAAAUUUGAGAAAAUUCCCCCAGGCUUGCCAUUUUCCUUCCUCAUGGAUGAGAUCUAAAAUUGAUCCUCGGUCAAUGCUAAUGAGGGCAUUCUCAUCGUAUAAAGGAUUUGUAACAAUAUUUUAUUGGAAAAAAGCUUCCAACCUUACGGAUCAGUUUCCAGUCAUCUGAGGCAAAUAACUUUGUUAUAGUCCAUAAAUUUUCAAAAUUGACUUUCACAACUUCAAGAUUCUUAAUCAGCAAAUCCUUCUGUUUUGAAGGGGGAAGAUGGACUAACUUUUGAGCCUUGCUUUUUUUACUAGGAGUCUGGUCAAUUACCUUAAAUAUAGGUCUUGGAACAGGGGAACUGGAAAGACUUGAUUUUGCCAAUUCAACAUAACUUAGUUUCCUAUUCAAAUUCGAAGGAGGAAUCUUGAGGGAAUUAUUAGAAAACCAUCUAGCAUAAUCCAGUUUUUCGACAAACUUAUCUAGCAUUGAGCAAAACAACUUCCAGUCUUGCUUCUCACUACCUAAGCACACUCUGAUAUUGAAGAGCCCCCUGAAUAUGGCCAAUGAUCACAGCUCAGUAUCCAUUCCAACUUAGCUUGAAACUUUGAAAUUCUCAAUCUGCCUUUGUCGACAUCCCCAAAUUUCCUGAAGUGUCAACCUACCGGAAAAUGAUAAGAUCAGUUAAUGCUGACCAGAUCCAUCUAAGUUGGCAAACGGAUAGAGAGAUGCUUCUGCCGGCUUCUACAUCUUCAAUGAAGCAACAAUCUCCUUCAUGUCAAAUGCAAUAGUGUGACUGGUCAAUUUUCCAGCUAACCACCUCCAUGGUGAUCUCUGAGACUUAACAGAGAGGACUGCUUAAAAAACCUGGCUGUCGGAGAGGGGAGAUCGGAAGGAGUGGGGUGGAGGGAGGGGAGAGGAGAGGAGGAGAGAGAGAACUUAGAGCAGUUUUAUGUUUAUUUAAUGAACGUACAUAAAAGAGAGAAGUUUGGAUUUCUCAUAUGUCUUAAAUCUCCAAGUUCAAUUAAGGUUGUACUACUUGAAUUCUGGCUUAUCGUUGGGAGUCCCGAUGUGCAGUAGUACACAUCAUGCUUCGACAAUGGAUUUUUGAUACUUUGCCCCCAAUACAAUCUUGUUGUCACCAAACAAGUUCCUUGAAGUACCCAGUAUAACAUAUCAUGACCAUGCUUCCAUAAUUAAAAAGAUAAGACAACCAAAGUACUCUUAAAUCGAAGAAAAACAUUGCUGCAAAAACAAGUAUACCUCCACAAGUUUCUCAACUUUUGUAAAAUGACGACCAAAGGAGGAGUAGCGCAUGCCAUACAGAAAUGGUGCAAGAUAUACUCUGAGUUUGCUCUACAGUAAAGGAAUUCACAAAGUCAGUUAAAAGUGAUUGUUCAAAGAAAACAAAGAAUUCAACGAUGCUAACACAUUUAAUUCAAAUACACAAAAAUUCAUUGAAGACCAAGAAAAAAGAACAAGACUUACAUUGAGAAAAAAAAUAAUUAUAUAAGGAAAGACCAAAAAAAUCAAAGCUCACACAAGUGAAUCCAAUUAAAGAAAGAAACUCCAGUCAAAUAAAUUACAACCUAGAGGACAGAUGAAGAAGAAACUCCUCAAUCAUCUCCGUGAUCUCUGUGUCUAAUGUUUUUCAAUGCUCAAGGCAUAAUAAAGCACAAUAGUCUUUUAGGGCUUAAGUGCAAGGCGGAAAAAAAAUGUGGGUUUUUUUUUUAAGGUGCAGUCUCUCUAUAUAUAAUACAAGAUAAUAUAAAAAUACAAGAUAAAAAAGAGGAUAGUUGAAUUGGAAUAUAAAAGAAAAAAAAUAAAAGUAACCAUAGGAAAAAAAAAUAUUCCAUUUAGGCCAAGCAAAUUUUAUUAUUUAUAAUUAAUAUGGAAGGAAAAAACCCUAAUAAUUACUUUUUUAAAAUAAUGAAAAAAAAACCCCAAUGCCUAGGACAUUGGGCCGUAGGGCUUCACUGAAAGCACCACAUCUGAUGCACUUGUGUGCAAGGCGAGGCACUAUGCAUGCGCCUAGGAGGCUUUCUAAAACACAGCAUGUGUCUAGCAAAAGGAAAGUCAAACACCUCAUAGAAACAACUCCAAACUAACCAAACAAAGUCAUGAUUCAAAAAGAUAUGAUUGAAGUCUUUUUUCUGCCCACCAAUACAGAAUGUGAAAAAGCAGCCCUACAAAAAGGAUCAUCUUUCUAAAAACCAAUCUAAUCUGUAAAAGUCUUCCUCUUUUCAGCCUCCUCAUAGUGUUCUUCCUCCUAUGAUCUCGAGUUUGUCUUGGUGCAAGUUUUUGGUCGCCUUUUAUUUAGAAGGAUGUUUAGUCUUGUAUUUGUAUUUGUAUUUCCCUGUACUUCUUUUGUGUUUGUUUUGCCUUUAGCCAUUACUCCUUUGUUACGGGUUUUAGCUUGGUUGGAUAUGAUGAGGGUGUUAAGGGGGUGUCAACCUAGUUGAGAUGUCCAGGUGCACCCCCGAUCCAUGCUUACAUGCUCAUUGUAUAAUUCUUUUGUAUUAUGAGCUUUUGUCUCAUUAUUAUUAUAUUAAUAUUAAUAAAGAGGCUGUCUCCUUUUUAAAAGAAAUAUCUGUAGAAGUCUUCCAUGAUUGACUUACCACAAACAGAAGUACUAAGUCUUCUAGAAAAAUUUUACAAAAUCUCUAAAAGAGGGAACUACAUUCUUAAAAUUUUCACAAAAGCUCCAAAAGAGGGAACUAUAAGAAAUACUUUUAGAAGGAUUCAAGCUCCAAAAGAGAAACAAUCCUUCUCCUUCGUAUUAAUAUCAAAUGUCUCGUUCGAGGAUACAAGAGCCACUAUGUCAGUUGCUUCUCUAUCAAACAACAAAUGACAGAAUCCCAACAAUAUCCUAGAGCUACUAAAACGAGAAAAGGCAUCUGCCACCAAAUGAUUCAGCAUAAGGAAAAAGAUGUAAAUAGGAAAAUAGAGAGCAGGGGCCGAAUGUCUAAGAUGAAAGCACAAAAUAGUUCAAAACUUCGAAAACACAAAAUAUUAGUCAGUAUAAGACCAUGCUUUGUCAAAAAUUUCGUCAAAGCAGCUGAGCAAAUAAAAGCCUAAGAAAUUUCUUUAGAACAGUGCAAUAAGAAAUUGUAAGCACCUUCCACUUAAAUAUGUGGUUAAGAACUUCAGGCUCACAAACAGCUUCUGCAUCCUCAAUGCAACAUCCUUCCUCAAGCUUGCGCAGAGCAGCUCGAACAGCCUAACAACCAAAACAGUAGACCAUUAAGGGAUAAGAAACCACGAGAUCACUUUAAGGAUACAAAAGUUAAUAAUUUUCUUACCACAACUGACCCUUCCAACUUCCCCAUCUUAAUUGUCUUGUCCACUACAUGUUUUAAAGAAUAUGCAUGAGUAGAUGGGACUUUGUGCUUCUUAAUUACGUCUUCCAAAGUAAUUGACGAUGCAACAUUUUUCAUCAUGUCCAUUAACCUAGGUUAAAAGAAAGAAUAUUUUAGAAACAAAUCCACUUUACCAAACAUGCAAGCGUGCACUUUAGGGAAGUUUAUAACUGUUGUCAUUCCUUAAUUCAUUUUUUAAGGGUGAGGGCAUCAAAACCAAAUGUGAAGUACAAAUGGCAGUUACCUCCUCUCCGAAUUGGCAUCUAAUAGGAGCAUCCCACUUCUAUCCUCCUUGUAAAUCUUACUUGGAUCAAAUCUCUUGGUUGGUAUGGCAGACUUGCCAACUAAGGAGGAUUUUUUCACUUUGAUCGUCUUAUCAAUGUCCAUGAGGACAGAUUCUCCUUUUUUAUUCAAACAGUUUCUUGAAAUGUUACCAAUUUCACAUUUUCAGACUCAGAACUCCACAAUGAUUUCGCAGUCACUUUACCAAGAAGCUUCCCAUCAGAUGAGGACCUCUCAAAUGAUUUGGAUACUUUUGCAGCAGAUUUUCCCUGAAGGUCAUCUGGCAUAGAUCCCUUCUUUGAUACAACAUUCUCCCUACUCCCACGAAAAACUAUCGUCUUCCCUCGUCUUGUAUCACUGAUAGGAAGUUUCCUUUUCUGAAUGGGAAGCCUACUCUCUUCAAGACCAGGAAAUUUUAUAUGGUCUCUAGCAGGAGUCUCAAUUUCUUCAUCAAUCUCGUGGUCCCUGGUCAAAUUAAAUGAAAAAAAAACAUUAAUAGGCCAAUACUGAUUAAAGGAAAUAGUAGUAACAGCUGACACAGCAAUCUUACAAGCAAUAUAUCAAAAUGCGAUUAGGUAAUAGCUUUUCCCAUGCCCUGGUCGGGGUUUCACCAUCCUCAGAACCUUCAAAAGUGAUUUUCCUAACAAAAACAAUGCAUUCUUUAACCAAUUAAGCACCAGAACUUAAAAAAUUACACUCUGAUUCACUAUAUAGAAAUUCAAAGGAUACCUUGGUAAGCAUUUCCUGUGGUAUGAUUUUGGACACCGUCGACAAACAGCAAACUGUAGUUCCCAUAUUUUCUUAUUUUCGCCGAGCGCACAAACAGAGCACUUAUGCACAGGGCAUGAGAAAGAUUCUCCAGAUGCAAUCUUCUUCUCAAGGUCUCCAGCGGCAACUUUAUUCUCCGGAUGAAGCAAUCUUGAAAUACAUUUAGGAUGAUAAAAAUAACCACAAGUUGCAUUUACGCAUUGGAAGACCUAAAGAGCAAUAGUAACUCAUAUUAGGUAAUAAUCAGAGACUGAUGUCUAACAUCAUAAGUAAAUCUCUUUUUCUAAUAAGAAAAGCAUAUGUAUAUUCAACAAAAAAAGCCAAGAAGGACCAUCUAAGAGGAAAGGGUUGAGGAAACCCCCACCCACAAAACUAAUAAAGAAGAGCCUAGCAAUUAUUAAUACUCAUUAAAAGAUCUAAUUACAAAGGGAGAUAUGAGCUAUUGGCAAAAUUAACAAUGUGUUAGAAAGUUGCUAACAAGAACAAGAUAUUAAUUUAUUAUAAUGAACUAUAAGAAAAUACAAGAUAAACCCAAGUAUAAGGCACUUGGAACCUCCCUCUUGAGUACUCUCACCCAAGCCCUAAAUCACUCCACAUAAUAACCUCUCUCUCUCACUUACCCUCCCUCCAUUUAUAACAAGAUGUAACCACCCUAGUAACCACACAUAAUAGCUACUAGUAACCACACUUACACAAUAACUACUAGUAACUUCCUAAGUAUCUAAUUACCCUUAUACCCCUAACCCUAUACUAAUCUAAUUACCCUUAUACAAUAUAAACCCAUGUAUACAAAUGUAGGUAUCUAACACAAUGCUAAUAAAUAAAUUACAUUAAAACUACAAAGAUUCCAAACCUACAAACAAGAAACUAGCAAAAAAAGUCAAACAACUCAAACCCAAUCAAAGGGUCGACAAAAUUAUGAACCAAAAGAUUGUGAAAAAACUCUAGUGUAAAUGUAAAGAUGGAAAGAUAUUAGGGCUCACCUAAGUUCAUUAUGAUUAUAAUAAACAAAAACAAAUUAAUAAAACAAAAAAAAAAAGGGAGCCAAUGUCUAUAUUGCGCAGGAUUCAUAUAGUAAAUAUUCAUAUAAUACGUGAAGGAUAGCCAUUUUAGUAGUGAAGUGUAUGGUCAAUCGAUUUUAUACCUACAAUGAGUUAUUUUUAGAGGAGUUUCAUUGAAUCUUUAACAACUUUCCAAAUAUAAGCAGAGUACAAAUAAACUUGACUUUGUAUUACUCUCUUUGUAUAACUCUCUUGUACUUUGAGUGCAUAUUAAUAAAAAAGAUUUGUCUCCGUUUCAAAAUAAAUAAAUAAACUUGACUUUGAGGGUGAGUAUUUUUUGUUUAUAUGAUGAUAAAACCAAUUUCAAUGAGGAAAAAAAAAGAGAGAAUAGGAGGCUAACCAAAAGCCAGCCCACUAAAAGGAAGGGAACCCUCUAGAAAAAGGGACCCAACUAUGCAAAAUAACACCUAUAGAAUAAUUACAAAAUUCCUUCGAAUUCAAGGCCCACAAAGAAACAUGAUAACGUACAAGGGACCAAAUCUCACUGGGGACCCUCUCCCCACCCCUAAAAACCCCAUUGUUCUGCUCACCCCACACCACCCAUAAAAUAGAACACACCCCCAUGACCCAAAGGAAGUGCCCUUCUCACUGGUCAGGGUUGAGAAGGAACUCCUCAAGCAACGCACACACAUCUCUAUGUCAAGUCCCCCUAACGCCAAAUGUCUAAAACAAAGAGUUCCAAACCAAGCUGGAAAACUCACAAUGCCCAGAAUGUGGUCCAGAUCUCCCUCCCUUUUCUACAAAGAAUGCAACAAGAAAGGACCUACAAGCGAGAGCAUCUUCCUCUUAAGCCUAUCCAUCCUGUUUUUUUUUCUUUUUACGGUCGUGUAAAACUUGCCAACUAAAGAACUUAACUUUCCUAGGAAUCUCAAUCCUCCACAGCACAAGAAAACAGAUAGACCUAGGGGAGAACCACUUCACCCACGUCUAAACGAGUGGCCCUCAAGUACCUCUAUUGUUUCCCUAUAGGAAAAAGCACAACAGAACCCAAAAGAGAGGGAAUACGAGCUCCUAGACCACACGAGAAUAUCAGCAACAAAACAGUGUUUGUGAUCAAGAAAAUGAUACGAAAGAGGGAAUAAGAAACAGAGAGGUCUCCCCCCAUCCAAUGGUCUUCCCAAAAGUAAGUAUCUCUCCCCCAUCCAAUGGUCUUCCCAAAAGGAAGUAUCUCUCCCCUUCCCCACCACACAAUGAAUGAAUUGAACAAAAGCAAGGAGAUCUUUCUAGAAAAUCUACGAGAAUUCUUCGAACAAAAGAUAAUUCAGUAUUUGUCCAUACAUGAGGGGAAGACUUCCACUUAUAGAGUUUUAAUACAAGUGGUGGUAAAAAAUGGAAUUAACCUAAGACUAUGACCCAGCUAACCACAUUCUUCUUACAUCACCACUUUCCCCUUCUCCCUCCUGAUUCAUUGAUGCAAUCAAGCUCUCUUUCAACCCUAACAUCAUUUCCAAUUAAAUCAACUCAGUUGACAUCAAUUUCAUGAGGAUCGAGCUCGUGCCAUUUCUUCGAACUCAAAGAAAAGCCUCAUGGGUUGGCAAACCACCAUCUGAAGUGAUUCUUUAGACUCUAUCACUUUUGAGUUGGUAGCAAAAACAUAUUCAGGGGAAUUGAUGUAGAGUGUAGAAUAAUGGGGGCCAAGGCUUCUGCUGAUUAUUCAAGUCAAGAUAUUAGUUUAAACUGGAGUGCUCUCAUCUCCAUGUAAUUGUUGAUGCAACCGUGGAUAAGAUGGCUCUCUUCCUCUACUACACUUCAUAGUCUUGUUUUGCUAUUUUUGAAUAUUCUUGGCGAUGGAACAAAGAUCAAGAACUUUUCUAUUGAUGUAGUGAGAAGAAACAACAAAUGUUCAAAUGAAACAGAAAAUCUGGAAGUUGCUAAAAGGUAAGUUCUCUUUGUUAUCCCUCCUCCCCCCUCCCUCCUGCUCCCUUUUCGGUUCUCUCUUUAUCCAGUAGCCUCACAACGACUACUUUUCAGUCUAACAACGUUAGCCUCCUGGUGAAGUCUACCCACAGACCAAUCACUAAAGGUCUGGUGGUUGAGUUUCGUUUUAAUUGCACAGGGAAGCUUAGAAGUGAGACUGCAAUGGAAGUGGUAAGUUACGAAGUUCUUCAAUCGUAUUAUCGCAUUUGGUCAGAAGACGAUAGCUUCCUUGUCAAAGAUGUGAGCUGGUGCCUGAAAGCAUUAUCAGUGUUAUUAAGAGGCCCAGCAGAUUGUUUCUUCCAGAAAUGGGGGAGUUAAACCAAGGAAGGUUGAAGUUGUCAAAGUUCAAGGCAAAAAAGGGUUGGGUGUUAUGUUGUGUGACCUAUGGCCAUUUUCAGGUGGACACUCCUUCAUUCGAGUGUGUUAGGGAGAAGACAAACAGGGGUGGGUGGCAUUUCACAAAAUGCUGGAGAAUUUCCUUUUCAAAACCAGAGUAUAUAAGUUGGUAUUCACAUAAAAUUGCCACAUCUUUUAAUCCAGCCCAGGCUAAGAGUACAAGCUUCACAGAUAAAGUUAAAUCGGAUGGUAACUUAACCCAUGAUGAAAAAAAAAAAAGAGAGUGCCAUUAAAGUUGAUUAUCAGGCUGUGACCAAAGAUGAAGGAGAAAGCUCUCAAGUUUCCUCUAUUUUGAAGAGAGCAAAACAGAGUCAGGGGGUGACAAAUAACUCGGAAGUUAUUCAAACAAAGUUUGAAAAUGAUGUAAGAAGACUAAGAGUUAAUUGGGUAAUUAGGUAAUAUUCUAGAUUAAUUCCCUUUUUAGCCCCAUUUGUAAUAGAAGUCUUCUCCUCUUGUAUGAAGCACAUUAUUCAUUCUAAUAAAAGAUUCUCAAUUUGUUCUUGGAGGAUUUCUCCUUGAGAUUACUUAGGCUACAUCAGAAUAGUUGUGGAUAGUUACAAUACUCUUUGCGUUGAUUAUUGGAGAGAAAUUCGAAAACUGCUGGAAAUCUUUUUCCAAACAAGAAUUAUCAUCAACCCACUAUUGGAUGAAAAUGCUCUUAUUAGUUUGGAUCAAGGCCUGGUUGAAGAUUUCAUCAAUGAACCUGAGAGAUGGCAGGAGAUGGGGCCAUUUCACCUAAAGUUCGAAAAAUGGGAUAGAUUAAAAAACAGCCAGCCGUUGGUAAUGAAAGGCUGCAGCAGAUGGUUAAGAAUUGGAAACCUUCCUCUGGACUACUAGUGUAGAAAAACCUUCGAAGCCACCAGAGAGAAUUUUGAGGGUUUAGAAAGCAUUGCCACAGAAACGCUUAAUCUAACCAAUUGCAACGAAGCAAGAAUUCAAGUUAAACCGAAUUUAUGUGGUAUUAUACCUACUACCACUGAAAUUACAGACUUUAAUAGAAGUAAUUUUUUCUUGAAUUUUGAUGAUAUUGAGCCUAUGGAUCCCCCAUGUAUUUUCAAGGGAAGUCUUAUUCUUAAGGAUUUUCAAAAACCCUAUUGAUUAACUAAGGGUUAGGCAAGCUUUGGAAGAUGAAGAUGUUAAUGUUUUGUUCUUCCCUCAAGAACUUGAUGUGUUUAAAUCCACUAAAACAGCUCCCUCCUUUUCAAGAAAUCCAUUAGAAGCUUUGAAUCAAAUUCAUGUUUCCUCACCGGCGCCGGAGGCCGACAAUCUGAUUGGAAAUGAAAUAUGUCCGUUAGAAAUUAAUAGGCUGUAUCCAAGGAAGAGAGAGAAUUCAGCAGAAGAUAUCUAUGCAUUUAAUUCAUUGGGCUUUGGUCUAACCUCAAAUGGUGGAAAGCUCAAAUGGGGCUACUUUCCAGCCUAGUAUGAACACGAAAAAAGCUUUAACAAGGAAAGAGAAUGUGAAUGGAAAUGAUUCUCUGCAAAGUAAUUGUUCUGCUUCCAUCCGUAAGGGCACGAAAAAGAAAUUUAAAAGAGAGCCUGUUGUAGUUCCUCCGUUAUUCCUCCCAAAAGACAGCUCAGCAGCAUUAACUAAUCACUCAAGAACCCUUCCACCUUCCAGCCGUGUUCUCAUAUCUUCCUCUGCCUUGGAAUCCAACUCUUCCUUGCCUUUUUCCAACCAAUCAAACAGUACAGUGAAUAUAGCAUUCCAAUUGUCCAAGGAUAACUCGAAUAAUGAUCUUCUUCAGUCUCCAUCUCACAAUACGAGUGAGUUCGAAAUACCUCAGAAAUUUCCGGCUAACAUUUGCUUGCAUCAACGAAUGAAGAGAAACAAGAAGUGCAAGAUUCCUAAAAUGUCUCAAGGAAGUUCUUAUUUGGUUAAGCCUUUCCGAAAACACUUGACCAAGAAAAGGACUUCUUUUAGCAAUUCUUGGACAAAAAUCACAAACCCUGACUUGCUUGAGGCUGUUGUGUCAAGAUCCAAGUCCCUGGCCUAAAUCAAAACAGGUCAGCUUCUUUACCUUUUUUGAAUAAACCUGGUUCCCAUUUCGGAUGUAAUUCCCAAGAGUCUUUCAAUCCUCCUUCUGUGCGAGGAUUACAUAGCAAUUUUCAGACUUCUCAUAAAGGUACGAAAGACUUUGAUGAAGAGUCAUUGGCAAGUGUAAGCAGUGAAGAACAGGAAAGAGGACAAUGAGGAGAUAGAAAUUACAAUAAAAUGCCAGUUGAUAUGAACAAGGCUUUAAGUAUUUUAUUCCAAUCUGAAGAGGUUCAAUUACUUUCCAUUAAGAAAAGCUUUCCUUUACUCCACUGUAAAAGAAAAAUACAUACCUAAAAAUUGCAUUCCAUAGUGGAUACCUGUGAAAUCUCUUUAGCCUAAUCCAAAGGAAAACAGGUCAUUCGGUGGAUAUCCUCAGGGUUGAAAAUUGAAGAUUAGCUAUUGAAUUGCAUGAUGAUUUGGACAAAAACAUGGUGGCUGAUUCUUAGAAGUUUUCAAAAGAAAUUAGUCCAGACAUACUACUAAUUCAAGAUUCUAGAAUGGACAGCUUCGUUAAAGAAGUCAUAGAAAGCAUAUAGAGCUCAAAAGAUGUCGGCCAGAUUUUAGUUGGAAGCUUUAAAGAUUUUCAGGGACUUUCUUACAAGGUGGGUUGAAGGUUUUUUCAGAAAACUGACAUUGCUAAAGCUGACUUCUCUUUGAUAACUGGAGUAAUGAGUUGAAGGCAGUGCUGGCAAGUUUAUGUGGAUUGGAAGAAGACUACUUCCAGAUCCUCUGGACUUUGGAUUGUGUUGGCAAGUUAGCUUUGAGGCAGCUGUUUGCAUCUUCUUGGCUUUCAUUUUCUCCUAUCAUCUUGAAGAUUUGGAUGUGCAGUACUUUUUAUACGAGUGGAGUGGGCUAAUUUUGAGAGAGUGUUUAAGUAUUGCUUUUUACUUAGCUUUCUACUGAUGUACUGUAUUGUGUGGCUUUGAUUAGCUCGUUUAUUUUCUGAUUCGGACUCGUAUUUAAGUUUCCAUCAUAUUAUUUUGCCCGAUUAUAGUCUUUGUUUAUGUUUUAGCUUGUUUUUUCCCUUAGUUCUUUUGGUUUUGGUAUAAUACUCUUGUACUUUGAGCUUUAGUCUCAUUAUCCUUCAUAAAGAGGCUUAUUUUCGUUUCAAAAAAAAAAUAUCUUGGCAAUGAUUGUAAUUUUUAAGUUAUUAAGUUAUUUGCAAGUUUCUUUUCAAGGUGUUGAUGGUACUAAUGGGGUGUCAACCUAGUUGAGAUGCCCGGGUGCACCUCCUGAUCCACAGCUUUAUGCUUGUUGUUUCCAUUGUACUUUGAGCAUAGUCUCAUAUCAUUAUUUUAAUGAAAAAGCUUGUUUCUUGUCAAAAAAGGGUGCUGGUGCUGGUGCUGGUGGUUUCAAAGGGUACAUAAUGGUGUACAAGUUCGAUGCCCUCUCACUGAUGAAGGCAAGGCGAGGGCUUUUUUUCUCAAAGAAGAAAGGAGUGGGGAGUGGGUGGUGGUUUUUUUUUGCUUAUGAAGCAUGAAUACUCCAUGUGAAGCAAAAAAUCGUAUCAAAUACGUAUCAAAUAUCAAUACUCCUAAAUACUUCCCAUAUACAUAUCGGAUAAGUGAUUUGACAUAUUUGCUUUUAAUAAAAAACAAAUAUCAAAUGCACUUCUGAAGUGGACACGUUGGACCUUCUAAAAAGAAGGCAUCUAAUCUUUCCCAAUCCAAACUAGGUAGCAUAUUUAAAAAGCCCAUUGCCCCCACCAAAACUAAAAGGAAAAAUGAUGUAAUUCAAGUUGGAUUGAUUUUUCAAAAAGAAUUCUCUGCCAUAUUUCGGGCUAGGAGACUGUUAUAUAUUGAUAUCUCAAGGUUAGUUACAAGUUAGUUACAAGGUUUUUUUAUUUAGUUAGUUACAAGACUGUUUUAGGAAAGUUAGUUACAGCUGUAUUUCUAAUUAGUUAGGGAUUUUUACUAACUAACUAGCUAUAGUUUACAUCAUUCCACCCCCCUAAGGAUGGACUCGUCCCAGAGUCCAUCAGUCAGCAAGCCUGAAACACGAUCUGGUGCAUGGUAUGGCUUUAGGUCAGCAACAUUGAAGACUGGGUGUAUGUGUAUGUCUUGUGGUAGAUCGAUCUUGAAGGCAUUAUCUCCGUAUUUCUCUAAUAUAGGGAAUGGCCCAAUUUGUCUGUCUUUCAGCUUGUUGUAGGUGCCAGUAGGAAAUCUGCUCUUUUCAGGUGUACCAUUACUAGGUCUCCUUUAUUGAAGUGGGCUUGUCUUCUUUUUUUAUCUGCUGCCUUUUUGUAGGAGUCUGUUGUCUGUAUAAGAUGAUCAUGGACUUCCUUGUGUAGUUUUUUGAUAUUUUCUGCCAUGCAUUCUGCUUCGUUGUUGAGAUCCACGGUUGUGGGGAGUGUAGUGAGAUCAAAGGUUAAUCGUGGUAGUUUGGUAUAAACUACUUCGAAGGGGGACUUUCCUGUUGAUCUGUUCUUCAUAUUAUUGAAGGCGAAUUCAGCUUGAGCUAAUGCUAGAUCCCAUUGUUUUGGUUUUGACCCGCUAAGGCAGCGUAGCAGAUUACCGAGGGUCCUGUUUGUUACUUCAGUUUGUCCAUCUGUCUGUGGGUGGGCUGUGGUGCUGAAUUUCAGUGUUGUGUCAAACUUCUUCCACAGUGUUCGCCAAAAGUGACUCAGGAACUUGACAUCUCUGUCUAAUACUAUGCUUUUAGGUACUCCAUGUAGUCGUACUACUUCUUUAAAGAAGAGGUUGGCUAUGUAGAUUGCAUCAUUUGUCUUUUUGCAUGCUACGAAAUGUGUCAUUUUGCUGAAUCUGUCCACCAUGACCAUUAUUGAGUCAAAUUGUCUUUGUGUUUUUGGUAAUCCAAUCACGAAGUCAAUUGAUAAAUCUUCCCAUAUUGAGGUCGGGAUGGGUAGUGGCGAGUAUAAUCCUGCAUUCGUGCUGGAGCCUUUGGUUCUUUGACAGAUGGGGCAUCUUUUUACGAAAUUAUUGGAGUCUUUUCUUAUUUGCGGCCAGUAGUAUCGUUUGGAAGUGAUCUCCAAUGUCUUAUUCUGUCCGAAAUGUCCAGCUAGCCCUCCAGAAUGUGCUUCCUUUAUUAAGGCUUCACGUAGUGAGGUGUGCGGGAUGCAUAAUUGUUCUCCUUUAAAUAGAUAUCCUUCAACAAUGUGGUAGUCAUCAGCGUCUAAGAAGUUGGAGCAUUUGUACCAGAUAUCCUUUAUAUGAGGGAACUCAUGAAGGAGCUGCUGUAAUUUGGGUUCUAUGUCUUCAACCUGUUUUUCUUUGGUUUUUUCAAUAACAACCAGUCCUAGGAUGUCUUGUUCCCUUUCUUUAAGCAUGUUUUUCCCACUAACAGUGAUGAAUAACUGUUUCUCACCUCUUAACCCUUCGUUAAUCUUUUUCGUUAUAGGGAGUAAGACUACCUUUCUUCCCAUCCAUUGAAACUCAUAUGUAUUUUCUCUCCUUUGUGUAAUGAUUGAGUAUCAUACUGCCAAGGUCUUCCUAGUAGGAGAUGGCAUACAUCCAUCUCAAUGACAUCACAAACAAUUUGGUCUUUGUAGGCGUUUCCAAUGGAGAGAGGGACUGUACAGAUUUCGCUGACCGUGGCUUCUCCUCCUUUUCUCACCCAACCUAUCUUGUAAGGGUUUGGAUGUGCUUCAGCCUUUAGAUUCAAGACUGUUACUAAUUUCUUUGCUACGAAGUUUUCACUGCUGCCGUUGUCUAUGAUUACAUCACAUACUCUUCCGUUUAUGGUGCAUCUUGUCUUGAAAAGACAGUGGCGUUGCAGGUUCUUUUCUUCCUUGGGCGUAAUUAGUAACCGUUGGAUAACACAAGAGACCCUUUCCCCAUCAUCUGCUUCAAUCAGUUCAGUUUCUUCCUCUGCUUCUAUACUGUCUUCACUUGUCUGUCCUCCAUCUUCGGCUAUUGCAAUGGUUUUUCUUUGCGGACAGUUGUUGGACAGGUGGCCAGUUUGGCCACAUCGGAAGCAUUUUCCUAAUGACGGGCGGGAGUAGUUGUUCUGACCACUAGGCUUGAACGUCUGUUCUUUCUUUCUUUCAACGGCUACUUCUUGAUUAUCAAUCUCUUUCCCUUUUGCUUUUGUUGAGGUUGAAGGUUGGUCGUUUGUUUUGCUUUUUGUCGAAUUUGUUUCCCAUGCUGAUCUUCUAUUUAGAUUCUUGGAUCGAAUUGCAAUCAUCUCCUCUACCGUUUCUGCAAAUGAUAUUGCUUCAGACAGGAAACGGAAUGGUUGUAGUCUGACCUUUUCCUUGAUGUCGAAUCGAAGGCCUCCCACAAAUCUUGCAACCUGGUGCUGUUCAUUUUCGCUUAGGUUUGUUCUUGCACUCAGGCGGUGGAAUUCUUCAAUGUACUCAGCUACUGUCCGGACACCUUGGCGGCAGUUUUGGUACUGAUUGUAUAAAGUUUGUUCGUAGUUUGGUGGUAAGAAUCUUGCCUUCAGCAAUUUUUUCAUCUUUUCCCAUGAGCGAACCGGUUGUUUCCCGCAUCUUUGUCUAUUGAUUUCUAACUGAUCCACCAAGCUGAUGCACCAGCCCUUAAUUUUAAGGCUACUAGGUGGACUUUCUUGCGUUCAGGCGUAUCCAUGUAGUUGAAGAAGUUUUCAGUACUCUUUAUCCAGUCCAAGAAUGCUUCUAUGUUUCGUUUGCCAUAAUACAUGGGAAGGUCGAUCUUCAUCUUAUAAUCGUGGUAUUCUCCUCUUCUGGCCUCAAUUCUUCGGUUAUUUCUUCCUGCUCGUGCUUCAUCAUUGAAGUUCCACAUGUUUCCUUGUUCAUCCCCGCUUGAAGAAUCAUCUUCUUGGGUUUCUUGCCAAUCUUCUUGAUCUUCUUGAAGGUCUUCGUCAAGCUGUUGCUGUAUAGCGUAACCGGGUCUCCUUCUUUGAAGUCCUCGUGGAUUGUUCAUGUUUCUAACGUAUCCCCUUGCUCGCCGGCCUCUUGCUUCACCAAAACGUUGGUCGUUUUGGAAGUUAAUUUCAUUCCGUGGUGGUGGCUGUGGGAAUUCUCCUCUUCGGUUUAACAGUUCGACACUUUCCAUCAACUUAUCAAAUUUGUUGUGGAGAUCUCCCAAAGAUUCUUCAACAGCCAGCAAGCGAACUGUUGAUGUCUUUGGAGAGAGGACGGUGAUUUCCUCCGCCGCUUCUUGCACACGGUUUUCCCCCGUGGCAGGGUUGUUAACUCUUCGGCCAGCCAUUCCGUCCAAGAAUCGGGCUGCUCUGAUACCAAUUUGAUGUAAUUCAAGUUGGAUUGAUUUUUCAAAAGAAUUCUCUGCCAUAUUUCGGGCUAGGAGACUGUUAUAUAUUGAUAUCUCAAGGUUAGUUACAAGUUAGUUACAAGGUUGUUUUAUUUGGUUAGUUACAAGACUGUUUUAGGAAGUUAGUUACAGCUGUAUUUCUAAUUAGUUAGGGAUUUUUACUAACUAACUAGCUAUAGUUUACAUCAAAAAAUAUUUAAAAAGACCAAACUAGAAUCAUCUAAUCUUCAUCCAUCCCGCCUAAGUCACACAAAAUAACCCACUUAAAUAUCUUUAACAAUUCAAUGAAGAAGUUUUUCAUUUAUCCUCGUACUUCUCUCUCUAAUCUUCUUCUCCUCUGUCAUUCUAACUCUGGUGCGCCAACCUUUUCUAUUCUAUUCCAUUGCAAUUGUAUUUCAAUAUUUUUUAAGAGAAAUUGUAUUUCAAUACCUUUGAUAGUACUUCUGGUAAAGUAUUUUGUAGUAUUGUCAUCAACUAGACCAGUGUUUUAAAAAGCGCACUAAGCCGCGCGCCUAGGUGCGCCUAGGCUCAAGGCGCCCACUUGGAGCUUAUUUGUGAGGAAGUGCGGAGAAUUCUAAAAAGCCCAGAUUAGGCGCGCGCCUCAAAGGCGCAAGUCGAAUUAGGAGUGGGCUAUUUUUAUAACUUAUGGGCUGGGCUUUAAUUAAUAAAAAACUAUUAUUAUCUAAAUUUUUUAAACCUAUUACGUGAAAGUGAAGAAACAACCCUUCACCCUUCUCCUCCCGCGCAUGAAUUUUCUUCAACACGACUCUUCAUCUACUUUUUCGGUUCUUCCGUUCUGCUUCUACUUCAAAACUUUUUGCUUCCUUUUCCACCUUCUUCUUCACACAAAGCGUCAACAAAUCUAUUUGGUGCUGCGGCUGCCAUUACUCUGUUUUUUGGUGCAAAAACAGAGGAAAAGAGAAGACAAUAAUAUUCUGCUUCAGUUUUCACCUCCUCCAUUUCAGCUUUAUCGCGGGUGAGUAUCUCAAUCGUACGUUGUAAACUUUUUGCCUCCUCUUGGAUUAGAUUUAAAUUCACAUCAAGUGAAUCUCUUUGUUCAGUUAACAUCUGCAUUGCUUUCUCCUUCUUCUGUAACUCUUUGACAAGAACAUCAAACUCCACAGCAUCCCACUUUCUUUCACCACAGCUUAUUCAAUUCUCAUUUGAAGCUCAGAAAUUCUCUUCCCGUUCUCUUCCUUUUCCUGUUUGAAACAGAAUGUACUCUGUUUUAAUUGAGCAACUUCCUUCUCUAACUUCUCAAAUCUCAACCUCCAUUUCCAGCCCAUUUUUUUCCUUUUCAAUCUCACCUUUCUCCUUCAUUUUCACAUCCACUUUCCUCUCUAAAUCUUCAAUUACCCUGCCUGAUUCCUCCAACAACUUCUUAAUCAAUUCAUUGUCUUUCGUCAGAUUCACAUUCAAAAUCUCACAUUCCUUUUUUUCACUCAACAACUUCUUCCAUUUCGUACAUGCUUUUCAAAGGAUUAUUAGUUUUUAUCCUUUUACUUUCAUUUAACAUAUUGAUUGCUCAGAAUGGUGAAAAGAACAAAUAUGGAUGAACGAACUUGAAAUGUUUUCUAUCUAUUGCAUCUUUUGGCUCUAUUGUCAUUUCCUCUAAUUUGGUUGCUAAGAGAAUGGAAGGUGGAUCCUCUCUUUCAUUUUCGAGAACUAAGUUUCCACCUACAAUUCCAAUGAAACUCGAGAGGAAUGAGAUGAAAUAUAGCAGAGGAUUGAGAUAACUACAAUCAAGUUUUGACCAAAAGUCUAUAUUUCAUGCUAAGCAUAGUGGGCUAUUUUUUUAGAUGUGGAAUUCUGAGUAUCUCUCCUUUGUUGAUUUGACAUCUUGCAUUAAAUUUCAUACUCUACUGUGACACUUUGUUGUGUCACAGAUUCAUUUGGUUCUAGUAUGUUUUGGUCUAAGUUAGCUAUCAAUUUGCUGAUUUGACGGCUACGAACUACAUAUGUCGUUUUGUGUUUUCAUAGCGUGGUAUACCCAUUGAGUGACUAUUGGUUUUGUCUCUUGACUUAUUUAUUGUGUGCAAGUUUUGGACAUCUUCUUCUUCUUAUACUUCUCGACCACAACUUCCUUCAAUAACCCAUCAAACUCAACCUUCAUCCCAUCCCUCUCACAACACACUCCCCUCCAAUCCUCCAUUUAUAACAGCUUCAUCCCAUCCAUAGAUAGCUUCUGUUUUUUAUCUUUUUAUAACAGCUUCUGUUUUAAAUAGCUUCUGUUUUUUUUUUUUUUUUUAUAACUUAGAUCAUAGAUGGCUGAUAAAAGUUCAAGAAAAAUCCGGCAUGGAAAUAUGGUCAAUUGCAAAAUGACCAAGAUAAAAAUACGUUUGUCUGUGGAUUUUGUUCGAAAGUAACAAAAGGAGGGUAUAUAGAAUGAAACAACACCUCGCUGAUGGUUACAGAAAUGUCACCGCCUGUACAAAAUGUUCGGAUCACGUGAAGGAAGAAAUUAAAGAGUACAUGUCCAAAAAAAAAAGAGAUUAAAGAACAAAAAAAUCUGAUUGUGGACAUUGAUGUAGAAGAUUACGGUAUCGAGGAUGAAGAUGAAGGGAGUGUUAGUGUAAACAACAUAACAACACCAAGGGGCCCGAGCUUGAAGAAGCCAAGGCAAAAGGGUCCAAUGGAUGCAUUUUUUACUCCUAACCCAGAAACUGUGGUUCAAAAUAGAAAGGACAAAGGAAAACAAACUUCAUUGAAUGGGGCAUACAAGAAGGAAAUGAGAGAGCACACCAUCCAAAGAAUUGCUCGAUGGUUUUAUGAUGCAGGAGUGCCUCUGAAUGCCUGCACAUAUGAUAGUUUUGCCCCUAUGAUUGAGUCAAUUGGACAAUUCGGUCCUAGAUUGAAACCACCAUCUUAUCAUGAGUUAAGAGUUCCAUGUUUGAAAAAGGAAUUAGAAGCAACAAAUGAGUUGAUGAGUAACCAUAUGGCAAAGUGGGCCAAGGUUGGAUGCACUGUUAUGGCUGAUGGAUGGACCGAUAGAAGAAAUAGGACAUUAAUUAACUUUUUAGUUAACAGUCCUAAAGGCACCAUGUUUAUUGAGUCCAUCGAUGCUUCAUCUUAUGUGAAAGAUGGAAAGAAGAUGUUCGAGUUAUUUGAUAAUUUUGUAGACCGAAUUGGAGAAGCAAAUGUUGGACAAGUAGUUACCGAUAGUGCCUCAGUAAAUGUGAUGGCAGGUAAGAAUGUAGACUACUUACAAGUUAUAACUUUAAUUUGUUAGAUUUAGUUGAGUUCUACGUUAAAUGUGUACUUAUUUUCUUUGUUAAUAGGGAGAUUGUUAGAAGCAAAGCGACCACAGUUAAUAUGGUCUCCGUGUACCGCUCAUUGCUUAGAUUUGAUGUUGGAGGAUGUAUACAAGAUCUCGAAUAUUCGAAAAGCAUUGAAAAGAGGCAUGGAGAUUAGCAAUUUCAUAUAUGUUCAUCCUGGAAUGUUAAACAUGAUGCGAUGUUUUACUAACCAAAAGGACUUAGUUAGACUAGAUAAGACUCGUUUUGCUACUGCCUGCAUUACAUUAUCGAGUAUACAUCGUCAAAAGAAUAAUCUGAGGAAAUGUUUACUUCAGAUGAAUGGAAGAAUAGCAAAUGGAGUAAGGAGCAACAAGCGAAACGAGUAGUUCAGACUAUUUUGUUGGCUAGUUUUUGGACUACAAUUGUUUUCACUCUUAAAGUAUCUGGCCCACUAGUCCGAGUUCUUAGAUUGGUUGAUGGCGAGAAGAAGCCACCUAGGAUAUAUUUAUGAGGCCAUGGAUAGAGCUAAGGAAGCUAUUGCUAAAUCCUUUAAUAAUAAUGAAGAAAAAUACAAGGACAUUUUCACCAUAAUUGAUAAAAGAUGGAGCUUCAGUUGCAUCGUCCCCUGCAUGCAGCGGGGUAUUAUUUAAACCUGUCAUUCUAUUAUCUGAAUCCUAAUAUCCAGAAGGAUGAUGAAAUAGUUAAUGGACUCUACUCAUGCAUAACAAAAAUGGUUGCUUCAUUGGAAGUACAAGACAAAAUACUUGCAGAACUAAGCAAGUAUAAGAGAGCUGAAGCAUUAUUCGGACAAUCUUUAGCAAUCAGACAAAGGGACAAAAUAUCUCCAGGUAAAUUUCAACUAAACGAUUACUCAACGAUACUAGCAACAAGUUCUUCUAUUAAUAUAUAUUUUUUGUUUGUGCCUAUAGUGGAAUGGUGGGAUAAUUUUGGACAAUCAACUCCAAGCUUGCAAAAGUUUGAUGUGAGAAUUUUAGGUCUUACUUGUAGCGCUUCUGGAUGCGAGCGUAAUUGGAGUGUGUUUGAACAAGUUACCUUUUCUCUCCUUAAGUACAUUGAGAAUGAGAAUCAAAAUUUGUUGAUUCACUGAUAAUGAAACUUUCUAAUUUUUCAGCUUCAUAGCAAGAAACGAAAUAGGCUUGCUCAAAGUCGUUUGAAUGAUCUAGUGUUCAUCAAAUACAACACAGCAUUAAAACAUCGAUACAACCUACAAGAUAUUGUCGAUCCCAUCUCCUUAAAAGAUAUUGAUGAUAGUAACGAAUGGUUGAUUGGAAGAUUGGAUGACGAUUCUGAGGAGGAUGAUGAGUUGGUAUUUGACGAUGAUUCUUUAACGUGGGGUGAUGUUUCUAGAGCUGUCGGAGCAAAAAGAACCAUCAUUCUAUUCUAGAGCUAGUACCUCUAGAGCAAAGACUAAUGUUUCAUGUUCAUCCUCGUCUACCACGCAACGCAAACAAGUAAAUUUAGAUGACUUCGAUUUGGAAGAAGAAGAUACUGAUGGCAAUAAGUCUAACGAAGGAGUGAAUGAAGACGAGGAUCAAUUUAGUGAUGAUGAGUUUGAUCUUUAGGGAUGAACUUUUAUUUUGAUUGUUGACUUGUUGUUGAAUACUGGGUAGUUUUCUGUUGUGUUUUGUUGUUUAGGCUACUUAUAUUGGGUACUUAUAUUUUAUACAUUGUUGCUCUGCUACGAGUGUAUAUAUAUAUUUUUUUUCUUUUUAUAUAUAGUGCGUCUUAUCAAAAAAAGCUCACGCCUUUUUUUGCGCCUUGUGCCUAGGCUCCAGAGGACCAAUGCGCCUUAGUGCGCCUUGAGCCUUUAAAAACACUGAACUUGACACUUCAUGUCUAUUAGUGCAUUACAUUUAGCAUCUUUAUGUUAAAUCUGCAUAUAUUUGAUAUUCUCUUAAUUAAAAUAAUGUAUCUUCAACGUAUCCAUAUCCUAGUUUUUCAAAAAUUGGCAUAUCAUUUGUAUCCUAUUGAAUUAUCCUAUAUUUGUAUUUGUGUUCAUAUUUACUACAUUUUUUGUUGGAAGAGGAAGAAAAAGGGAGCUGGUGGGCUUUUCCUUUAAUAGCAACAACGGUGAGCGGCACAACAAUGAUGGAGAGGGGUUGAAGGAGGAGAGGAGAGAGAGAAUUCAAUAAAAUUAAAAUUAGUAUUUUAUUCAACUUAUUUAUAUUAAUUAAUAAUAUUUUUAUUCAUAGUAAUUACCACAUGUAGAUCCUGUUAAUAAAGGGAGCAAAAUCAAGCAUUUUUCAAAUGUAGGAGACUCGAUUGUUCAAUUUUCAAACUUAGACAACAAUUCAAAACAAACCUCAAGGAUCAAAAGUGUAAUUUUCACUUUGAUAUCUUGUUCAAAUUGGAUUUAUGACCCAUUUUAUUCCCGCAAAGACACCUUCCUCUCUCUCAUUCGUGUUUCUCUCUAAGAAAAACAUACCCCGCAAAAACAGUGUAUAUUGAAAGUAAAAAAAAUCAAAAACAUCCAGUAAACAUUAUUAAUCCCAUACCUCAGCACCAGAAGACUGAUCAGAUGAACCUAAAUUCCCGCAAGCAUAGCACUGGUGCUGUUUGUACUCGCAAUUCUUGCAAAUAAAGGUUUCAAUUGCCUGCCAGCAAGCCCAUAGAUAUUGAAGAAAAUUAACAAAGGGAGUUUGCAAGCAUAGAAAACAUACAUGAAUAUUAUCAUACAUCUACUUCUUCUUUAGAGAGACCGAGCGAGAAACAAUCACCAUCCUCUUCAGUUGCAUGAAAGGACCUCAUGCACCUCCCAUCACAGCUAUAAGAAAAUCAAAAUAGCUUAUUAGGCUUAGCUUGAUGCUUCUACUUGGGAGAAAAUUUCCAAUGACUUCUGUAAUUAUUCACUAGAUCAUAUUAUUUUGAACUAGAAACACUUUUGUGUGUGAUUUCCUGGUCGAGCUGUCAUUUCUAUGUCAUUCUGAGAAGAAGGCUAAAAGGGAAGGAAAUUCCAUCGAACUAUGAUUUUAAGAAACAAACAAUUUUGCAAAGCCAGUAACCAACCUCGAUAAUUUAAAGUAGGGGAAAAAAACAAUAUGUGUAUUGUGAAAAAAAGGCAGAAGGUAUAUUAAAAAAUAACAGGAGAACAGGUAUUGGCAGUUGAGAUAUGAAAUAUUACUCUCUCCACAAGAAAAAAAAACCUUAUCAUUUAGUUAAAAUCGGACACAAGAUCCAUAAAAUGAAUUAUCAAAUAUCAAUGGAUCACUUUAAACAAAACAGAAAGGAAUGCACUACAGAAAAUGAAUACUUCAACAUUUCAUCAAAAAUAAUGAAAUAUACAAAAAGGAAACCCUAAAACCAAAGAAGAUACUGAAAACUAUAGAGAGAGAAUAGGUACAAAAAAUUUAGAAAGAACACUCCAAGAUGAUGCUACAAAACUAUGUACCACCAUGUAUUUUCUUGGCCUUUUCUCUAACAGGAUACAAUAGAAAGGACCCAUUAACGAAGGCAUUUACAACAUAUAAGCAGCAGUGAUGUGGGGGAAGGUUGGGGAUCCAAAAGCCAAACCCUCCAAAUGGAGUUUUCAAAUAGGUCAUCUAUUUAGCAAAAUCUGGUUCUUUAGCACAAUGUUAAUUGAAGAUACCCAAAAUUUAAAAGAAUUCCUACUUAAAGGUUUUAUUCAUCUAUCUCCUGCCCAUUAUAAGCUUAAAUAUUUCUUUCCAAACAUAACUCCAUACAAAUUGCAAAAUGAAGCACAUCCGUAGAUAAUCUUCCCUAUCCUUUGACUAUAAGCCUAAAAGAUUGGAAAUCCAAUGUUGACAACAAAGAGCAAUCCUUCAAUCAUCUCUUACACCCCUUACUUUUGUGGCCCUGGUAGAACAUUGUUUCUCCUUACACAGUUACAGCCAGUUGGAUAACUUUUUUGUAACCUCCUUCAGCAUCGGGCUUGCUUUCCUCCCCCCUCUUCUACAAUAUUAUCAUCUAUGAAAGUGUUUCUAAUUCAAACAAAAUGACAAAGUAUACCACUGAAAUAACUAUCAUUUGAACAGUAACUAUACUUUUUCCAAAAUUAUUCAAAUUAUAAUAAAUGCAUGUUCCACAUGCAAAAUUUCCUUGUUACUAUCUCUUGAAUUAACAAGUGGCAAAGACUCGUAUUCUGUAGAAUUAAUUCAAUUCAAUAGCCCAGCGACUAAGUUGUGCAAAACCAGAUCUCUUCUUUGUUGACAUUUUUUUAAGUACCUCAACUAGUUAAACAUUGUACCCUCUACCACUAUUUUCAAGAUUUUAAGGUCAUCUAAAGUCCCAAACGUAACAGAAUCUUCAUUAGAGUUUUUGGAGUCUUUGUACUCUUUUAUGCCAUGAAAUCAACACUUGUGAGAUGAUAUGAAACAUAUAUCCUACUUGGCUACUGCACUCUGUGCUUGCAAGCUGACCGCAAGGAGAUUAACCGUGUGUACUUUCACAAUCAUUACCCACAGAAAAUCAGGGCCUUGCAUUCCACCAACUGAUCAGGACAGCUCCCUCUAAAAUUGAGGACUUGGAUCUCAGAUUGUAUGGGAAUUAUCUUUAUAGAAAAUGAAAAGCCUACGGGGAUAAAUAUGGUUCCAGAAGUCCUGUAGGAACUUUCUGAAAAGAGGGUAUAAAAAAUAUUUUGAGGAUGGAAGUCAACAUAACCUAGAACUGUGGAAUGGUUGAGUCAAAAAUUUUAUUUAUCUUGCACUAAUUGAAACUCCAUUGCCUGUGGGCGUGGCUUUGAGACUUAGGAAUGUAUCACGAACUCCUUCCUCCCUCCCCCCUGCCCUUUUGUUUCUUCUUCACAUCCAUAUAAAAAACUUUAUUCAACAAAACAAAUGAACAUAAUCUUUUCAUUGUCUGCACAAGAAUGAAAGAGAACCUGGGACUUAGCUAAUAGAUCCCACAAAGAUUUGCUAGAUGUAUCUGGAUUCCUCUUCAAAGCAUGAAGGCAGUGCACUGUGAUCAAGAUGGUUCUAAUGGUAUCCUCAAAGCUCUUUCUAGGCUUCUGAAGUGUAAUCCACACAUUCUCUUUGGAAAGCACCGAUAUCUCUGGCUUUGAACCAGAAAUAUUAAAUCUCCAUGCGGUAACCUGUUUAUAAACCUUUUGAAGUCCAUUAUCAACUGUACCAUGGAGGAAAACAGGUUCUUGACUGCCCUCCAGUCUCUCCCCUUCAUCCCAUUUAAUCGGCAAAAUAGAGAAUGAAAUAGGUUCUUCCUUGUGAUCCACAAAGUGAUAAUUUGAGACAGGUGGUACUGGUAAGGUCUCAGCCUCAUCAUCUGAAGACGCCAUUACUCUAUUGUAGUUCCAGUCCUGCUACUUAACAACUAAAUUCAAUGAGUGGAAUAACAAAAUAAAAAAUGACUAAAAAUCCGACCUACAAUGAAAGAGAAUACUUCACUUUCCCUUAAGACUAGAACAAACACCCGUUCUUGAAACAGGAAUAGGAUUGAUCAUAGUGACAUAUCCAUACGAAGUAAUCCCUAAAAUGCAAAUACAAAAAGGGUAAUUGAGAGGGACGAAGAAGGUACCUGAAUGGCCUUCGGUUGAGAGCCAAUCCCUACAAGAAGCUAUUCAAACUCGGGAAAUGGCAAUACCGAACAAUUUCAACAAUGUUAGCAGCGAAGAUAGCAAAGGAAGAAUGGGAACAGAUUGUAAACAAGAAUCGGAUACCAGCAGCCCUACGGAAGAAAGUCAGGCAGAAGUUGGGGAGGUGAAAAUUAGUUCGCGACGGAACCGGCGAAGAAGAGAGCAAUAUUCUUUGGGGAAAAGAAGUUACCAAAAAAUUGUGAAAACUGAAAGCCACAGAAUCGGUAAAUUAUAAAAAAGAUACGAAGAGGAUGUUUUGGAGGCAAGAGGGAGGGGAUGUUCGGGGUAAGAGGUAGAAUAGAGAUACUACGGGGUCGUUUUGGACUAAAAUUAUGGCCCUUAUUUGUAAACAUUAUUUCAAUAAAAGCAGUUACUCUAAACACUUAAGUAAAAUAAACUAGAAUAAUCAUCACGGUUGGGUUGGAUUAAAUUAGAGGAAAAAAAUACUGAUCUGGUUCACCCAACCCUAUUAUGCAUAUAAUAUAUAUAAUUGAAUGUAAGAAGGGGUAGAAUUCAAAAACAAAACUUUGUAACUCACGUUCUACUAUUAAAAUUACCAUUUUAUUCAUCAUUUUCUUCCCAACACUUGAAGUUGCAUCAUUUCUUUCAUCUUUAUUAUUUCUUCUCUAUUUGUGUUCUUUAUGUACUCUUUGCUCUAAAAGACCAUAUUCAAUUUUCUUUAACAUCUCAAGUUAUUGGUAUUCAAAAUUUUAGGGACAUACAUUAGACAGGUUGAUAUAAUGACCCCUCAUGGACACCCAUUAUGUCCAUUUUUUCUAAGCUUUUCUCUUUGUUUAUGUUGUCCUUUUUAAGCUUAAGAAGUCUUUGUGCUAGGGUUGCUGCAUAUAUCUUGAUUUCUCUUUACCAUUUGGGCUAAGAAGAGUCGAUAUUCAAAGGAUUCAUUCCUAUGUGCGUGUGGCUGUUGUUCGUGUGAAUGCUUGGCUAAAGAUUAAUUUGAAACCAAUCUAAUGACAUUGCUUUAGGAGAUCCUAAAGUUGGCUCUAUCGAGAAGGGAGAUCUCAUCAACUUAGGGGGAGUCUAAGUUUAUUCGUGAAGGGAGUUCACAAGUAAAGAGGAAUGAUUAAUCAAGAAUUUCUAUUAUUUAGGGGAGUUUGAGUAGUUAUUCACUAAUAGUAGCAUACUUAAGGGGAGCCUAAGUAUUAAAGAGAAUGUUUCCCAAGUGUCCAGUGAAUUAGUUCUACGAUUGUCUUUGUGAGCGAA